rnacentral:lncRNA from 1 species
CCAGCCCCAGAUACGUAUCUGCUCUAUUUGGGACCAAUAAAGCAGGCCAGUUAUUACUGUUCGGCCCAAUGUUUCUUUUGUCUCCACUUCUGAGUCCUUAAUCCCUUCUCUCCCCCGCCCAAUUUAUACCAUACUUUUCUCGGCUGUGUAAUGAAUCCGAACUUAAUGUUAAUGUGAAUCUGUAGUACGAGAGACAACAAGAUAUGAUAUGAUCAACGCACCACAAAACGACUGACAAGUCUGAGGAAUUAUCAUAUAUGGUUAUUAAAACACAGAGAGAGUAGUUUUGAGUUGUUUAGCAUAAUUCUUGCAGAUAUUUUAGACAUACAUGUUCUCUCUAUCAUUCAUCUAACGUGACCUUUUGGCUUUUUUUUUUUCUCUUUUAUACUUCACGUGCUCUGUACUGAAAACUGAUAAAAUCAAACAUUUUAUGAUACCUAUUAGCUUCCAGAGAUUGGCCUUGUACAGUGCCCACAAAUGAGAGUAAAAUCAUAAAAAAAAAUCUUGUGAAUCUUCUUCCUUUUUAAUAUUUUUUCUUAAAUUCACAAGCAAAGAAGCUAUAACAAACAAACAAAAAAAAAACACACAAUCCUACUCAAAACAAACACAUUCGUUACAAACAGCCAGCAAAAAACGAAUCAGAACGGUUCACUGUAUAGUUCCUUCUUCUCUUACUUUGUGUAUUUCAUUCUCUAGUAAAGACGUUCUCUGUUCCACCACAGCACAUCAAAUCUAAACGUUUUUAACAAACAUUAUUAUAUAUGUUCUGUAGUGUGGUGUGUGGAGAUUAAGGAAAGAACCAGACUUUGAUGAAGAUCGAAAGAACCAUUUGCAGACCAACUGCUGCAGCCACUACAACCGUCAGAUCAUUGCUCCCUUCAAGGUAAGACCGUAGAUUAAGAGCAACAAAGCACGAUGAUGCGCUACCAGCUGAGAGUAUUAUCACCCAUCUCAGAAACUCCACUGGAAUAAGCAAUGGCAGCUGCAAAAAGAAUGAUCCUGACUAAUCAAACACCUCUCAGUUAUCUUAUGUGUUACUGAUAAUCAUUCAACUGAUUAAUAAUAACAGUGAAAGAAGCAGAAGUUAGUGAAGAUAGAUACUUACGGAGGUUGGAAUGAAAAUGAAGAGAGAGUAACCCCAGAGGCACCAGAAUCUUAGGAGAUCAGCUCUGGACCCCAUGUACCGGAGCGAGAAGUAAAACGCCAGAGGCACGAUUAUUGCGUAGCCGUAGAUUAUAGAUGCUGCCAAGUUUAUGUAGUUCACAUCAAAGACCCAAGGUGCUUCACCGUCGGUUCGUUUCUUCACGAGGUACGUGGCGCAGUUUCCGAGAGAGGAAAGCACAAACACAAGCGUAGUGCAGAUCCAAACAAGUCCAUACCUAAUAAACACUUGACUAAUAUACAGCCUGACUGAGAAUAUUAAAAAGGAAUCUCAAUAGGAGAUGCCAAAGAGCGAUCAGCUACAAGAGCCAGGGGGCACUGAAAGACUUACAUAUCAGGGUUGGCAUCAAUCUUGUUGAAAAAAUCACCACUAGUGGGAUACAAGGAGCUCAUCAAUCUGUUCACAACAACGUCAGUGUCCACGUCGAAGUACUGGGUGUACGAGUAGACGUUAAAGAACCCCUUCCAACUGUUCGAUGGCUGUUGUUCAGGUCUUUCUACAGUUACAAAUUUAAAAAAAAAAAAAAAAAAUUUCAUACAGGAACAGGACAGAACAAUGUACAUAGACAUGAAGAAGAAAACAGACUCCACUCACACAAGCAUUCUUUAAACAACCACGAUGAACAGAGUUAGAAGUUCAAACAGUCAAAUUUCGAAUACAUAACAAUGCCUUAUCAUUGUUGUUUAUACCUGUUGGGGUGUCAAGAGUUUGAUAACCUUUUGCAUUGUUGUUUCCUUGAUGCGGUGGAAAUAUCUGAAUGUUCGCAGAUGGGCCUGACGAGCAGUAAACAAACAACAUUCAAUAAAAAAAGUAAAAAAAAAAGUUUCAAAACGGAAACUAGCAAAAAGAAAAAGAACACACCUUCGUUUACGCUUGCUGUAUGUACAUUUGUGCUUUUGUUGUCGUCGCUGAUCACAGCCUGACCCAAUAAAAAAAAUAAUAAUCUUAGCAGAGUUUAAUCGAAGCUAAUCAUAAUGCAAAGUUUCAAAAUUUAGCAUCCUAAUCAAAUAACAAAUCGGAGAAACGACGGAUGUGUUUUAUAGACUUACGGGAACUGAACCAAUCAAAUGGCUAGUCUCUAGAUUAGCGAACGACUCAUCCAUCAGAAAGCUUUACUGACCUAUUCUUUAUCUCAUCCAAACAAAAAAAAAAUCGAUCAGAUCGGUAGAAUAAAGAGAUCGUCCCUUCCCUUUCUCUGAUGAGUUUCUCAGUUUGCUUCUCUCCUCCUCCUCCGUCGUCGUGGGAAAGGAAGACGCGCGCGCUUUUUCAGCAACUGAGUCACACGCGUGCGUCUUUUUACUAAUUGACGUGGCCCAUAUAGUUAAAACAAACACGGCCCAUUUACAAAAAUUACAUGGGCCAUAACCCGAAUAGAUCCGACCCGAUAACCCACACAGUGUGUUCUUCCCUCUCGAAGAAAACCAAAACGGAGCAGCCCUAGACUGACACUCGCCUCCAUUUCCUCUGCUCGUUUCGCUAUCGGAGAAGAUGGACACGAACGGCUCCGCCUCCGCCUCCGCCUCCGCCUCCGCCUCCGCCGAGAGAUCGAUGAAUCUCCCUCCGCAACAUCCUGAUUACGCUAGCAAACCUGUUCAGGUACUCUCGAUUUCUCCUUCUCUUCGCGAGUUUUGAGCUUAUCCAAGGCCUUAGGUGAUUUUAGCAGCUGAUUAGCUUCUUCUUCAAGGUGAUUACUAGCCUUGGCUAGUGCUUAAUUUUAACUUUCGAUUCUUCAGGAGGCGUUGAUGCAUUUGGCAUCCACCAACCUCAGAGAUCUGUGUAACGAGGCGAAAGCUGAGCGUUGCCGUGCCACCAGAGACUUGACGAGCUGUGGGAGAUCUGUGCGCUAUGCGUUGAAUCCGUGUGGGCAUGCUUCAUUGUGCAGAGAGUGUUGUGAGAGGUUUGAUCUUUGUCCAAUCUGUAGAAGUACACUACCAAGAUCUGGAGAUAAGCUUCGGCUUCGUCUCUACUAUGAGUGUGUUGAAGCUGGUUUAAUCUCCGGAACACCUGAAGAUGCAUCACAGGAUGAAGAUGAGGAUGGUGUUCAUCGCCUUUAUUCUCUGUUCGAUGUUGCCUUGAACAAUAAUUUGAUAUCUGUGGUUUGCUAUUGUAUCCUUUCUGCUGCAUUUAUGCAUUUAAGUGUUUAGUUGAUAAUGUCGUGAUAAUGGAAUUGUACUGAUAGGUUUAUGUAAUUUUAGGUAGUUUUUUUUUUCCAUGCCCCCUCUCUGAUGGAUGAAGUGUGCAUAGUGUUAUUUUCAUUCUUCGAUUGCUCGAUGUAUUGUUGAGUUGUCCUUGACAGAAAAUGAAUAGAUAUCACCAAUGUUUGUAUGGAUGAGGCAGCUGUAUCUAGUGACCCGGUCAUUGCUUUCUUGCUGGAUGAAGUUGUUGUCAAAGACUGGGUCAAGCGUACAUUCAGGAGCAUCUUAGCUGGGCUUCAAGAAAUCUGUAUCCUUUUUAGCUGUUAAGAGUAUUUAUAUGUGACUUAGGCUCAGUAUAUGUGUGUGUGGUCUGUCUAUCUUUAAUAUUGGUUCUCAGAUAGUCUUGAAACGAAGGAGAUGCAAGGGUGGUUAGAUAAACUCCUGAAGUAUUCGAAACAAGUGGCUGGCAUAUGUAGUGUGCUUGAAGUUAUGGAGUCAGCUUUUAAGGGUUCUGUUUCACCUCAGCUUCAAGACGUGGAGAAGCUUAAGGAUAACAUUGGAAAAACAAAGCAGGUCAGCUAAGAUGUUAUUUAUAUUAAAACAAAUCAACUCUCUUUAGUCUUUACUUAUCCAGUGAUGACCGUCUGGCUCCUGACCAGAGAGUGUUUUAGCUUUUUACUUAUUGAUGCAAGAUCUAGGAGCUUAUUGUGUGCUUACCCUGUUGGUGUUUUUUUAUUUCAGCAUCUGGACAUUAUGAUCUGGUGCAUAAGACACGGAUUUCUGCAUGAUGUGAAGUCUCGGUAUUCUAAUUUCACAUCGUGGAAGGCUCUGGUGCUCGAAAGGAAAUCAAAUGCAAUUAAGCGUGCAUGGCCUGAUGCCGUAGAUCAGUCUUCAGAUUGCUGUGUACAGGGUGCUUCCCUUUUUAUCGAGGAUGCUUUGGAAAAUCUUGAGAGAGAGCCAGAGUACAGUCAAGACAUAGGGGCAGACCUAGGAGUUGGAUGUUUGCAGAACGAUGAAAGAUCAUUCCUUAGGUCCAGAAUAGAGGGAACUUCAGGAUCUUACCCAUUUGAGAAUCUUAGAACAGCUGCUGAUAAACUCUUUUUACAUGGCAGCUCAGAUUUGGUUGUUGCAAAGCAAGCCAUUGUAUCCUUUUCUCAUCACCUAAUUCAUAUUACCUUAAUUUACCUUUUAAGCAUCACACUCAGUACGCCUUCCUAUGUUUUUCUUCUUUGUUGGCUUCCUUAACCAGUAUAUAGUUUCUUUAUUACUUGUUUGAUCGGCACUGGACUACCCCUGAAGAACAUUGGAAGCACAUUGUAGAUGAUUUUGCUGCUACCUUCGGCAUAACCAGGCAUUCAUUGUUGGAGUCUUUUGUAUUUUAUCUUCUUGAUGAUCCCUCAGAAGAGGCACUCCAGGUACCUUUUGACAUUCCCAUGGAAAAAACAUAUAGAAAUAUGUAUUAUUGUAGAUGUUUUAAUAUUCUGGCUAAAACAUAUAUAGCCAAAUACAUCAAAUAUUUGUAAGCUGGUGACGCUCACAAACUUCACCAAAUUUUAUUUCAGGAAGCUUGUAGAACUCUUCCUGAAAUAUGUGGUCCAGAAACAUAUCCCAAGGUUGCACAAGUCUUGUUAGAAAGGGAAAAUCCUGAAGCAGCUCUUUUGGUCUUGCGUUGGUCUGGUCGUGAUGGCGCAUCAGAACUGGUUUCAAUUGGUGAAGCUGUCACAGCUGUUCGUGUGAGAGUGGAAUGUGGUCUUUUGAGUGAGGCAUUCACAUACCAAAGGACUCUCUGCCUGAAAGUGAAGGAAAAUGAAUUGAAAAAUGGAGCUGUAAAACAUGUGUCUGAUGAUGGAGGAGACAGCUUGAGUUGGACGGAAUGGAUGGAGAUACUUGUCAACGAAUUUUGCUGUCUGUCUAUUAGGAGAAACGUGGUUGAUCGAAUCAUUGAGUUGCCGUGGAACCCAGAUGAAGAGAAAUAUCUGCACAGAUGCUUAUUAGAUUCUGCAACUGAUGACCCCUCAUCAGCUGUGGGUAGUCUUUUGGUUGUCUUCUAUCUUCAGGUAAGUCAUCACAUAUUCAUGCUUAAAUCAUCUUCACUUGAACAUAGUCUUAAAAUAGUUGUUAGCCCGAGAGUAGCUUUAGAAAAGUCAAAUAAAUAUCAAGACUCAGAGCUGUAAUCUACAUAUAUUGUUUGGAAUAGAUGGAAAUUUUAGUAAGAGAUUAAUUAGCCCAUCCAAGAUCCAACUAGAUACAUGUAUAUUCUCUCUCACUCUCUGGUAUGUGCUAUAUGGGCUUCAGUGUUCUUUUAUUAUUCGAGCUUGUUGUAGUCUGAGAUAUUGAGAGUAAUGAACAAGUAUGAAAUCAUUUGAACAACCAGGCAAAAUGCAUUACUAUUAAACGUUCUGUAAAUUCUGUCUUGUGUAUAUGGUUUGCUAUUUUUGGUCCGUCGUUAACUGGAAACUACUUGUUGUUUGCAUUGCUGCAGCGCUACCGUUACAUCCAUGCGUACCAAGUCGAUCUUAGGCUCCAGAAAAUUGAAGAGGCUUUCUUAUCCGAAAAUCGAAUUGGGGAAGAAGUAAUGUCCAGAAUGCAAUCACAGAGUCAUUGGAGGAAAGAGUUAAUUGUAAGUAUUCUAGCCACCUUUCCAUGAGCAAGUGCCGUUUCCUUUCUCUUUUCCUGGUUAAAUACUGCAGACUCAAAUUUUCAGCUUGCGUUUUAGUACUUAGUAGCCUCUUGGUGCUCGCAGGAUUCUGAUAUUUCUGAAUCUUGAAUGUGCAAUGAUACGUUAUAUUAUUUAUUUAAACCCUCCCGUGUUACUGUUGGUUUCAACAGGAUAAAGCCAUAGAUAUACUACCAGCAAUACAGCAGCAGCAAGUCAGAUCUGGUCAGUUUUCUGAGAUGGAAGAUACCUCCGAAAGUGCUUAUGAAGCAGCGACAAACACUGAUCUUCCAGAAGCAAAACAAUCAAGUGUUCCCGUUUCCACUAAUUCUGUAUUUCUCCAACGGGCUAAGGACGGUGGCGCUAGAGUGCCAGUGGCUAAUAACGCCAGCAGUCCUUUUCAACCCAGUCGUUUGAUAGGUUCCGCUUCCAUUGAUAUCUCCCAUGGAAAGCUAUUUACAAGCGCAAAUAGAGGACAGAAGAGUGAAGUCAGAAGCAUAACCAAGACUCUGAAAUUCGGUGAAGCGUCCACACCGUUCAAAGAUCUUAACAGAGCUCGUGGGAACAGCAAGCACAAGGGAAGAAGGACUGAAGACACAUCUCCAGAAAUAAACGUUGAUAGAUUCAUGGACUCUCCUUAUCUCACAGCUAAUAAUCCCGUAACAAUGGAACCUCGCAGUCGCAGCAAGCAUCUCAAUGGAUCUGCACAGAAACCGGAAUCCACUUUCUUUGGCGUAAGAAUGCAACAAGAUAGAGAACACCCGAGCCAUUUGGAUGAUCCAAUGGACAUGUCUUCAAGGUACAUUUCCUCUUUUCUAUAUAAACUAUACUGUGUUACCCUUUGGUUUGCGUAAGAAGUUCGGUUCAGUUCUUGUCUGAUCUCUUUAUAUAUUCAUGAAUGGUAGCUUGAAGAACAACAACAAUGUAUUGGCCACGGAGAGCAGAAAUAAAAGUGGAGGAUUAAGGUGGCGAUCAGAUGAAGGAAGCGAUGAGAAAAGUGAACCGAUGUGGGGCAUGGAGCCGACUAGUUCCGGUUCCAUGCCGGUUAAGGGAAGGAGGACACGUAGAUUCACUGCAAGAUGAAAUGAAACAAAACAAAAAACAUCAUCAAUUGCCUUUAGCAUACAGAGAUCAAAUGUUGUAAAGAAGCAUUAGAGAGCUUUGUUUUUCUGUUUUUGUUUGUGCUGGGAAAAAAUGAUUUUGUGUUUUAUGUUAUCCCUGCGGAGAUUUUGAAUUAUCAUUUUGAAACUUGGAAAUAAAACCCUUUUUGUUAUUAGUAUUCAGUAAUUAUUUUUAUAAAUCUCAUUUAGUCGUCCAUUCUCUGUCUGAACACUAAAGUGUGUAACUCUUGGAAUGAAGCAACACCUUAUAGCAUUUUUUAUUUCAAAAAUAUGUAACACUGAAAUAGAGUUAGAGUUUUACUCUAAUGUAUUACUCUAUUUUUUACUCCAAAAAUAUAUUUUAAAAUAAUUUCAUUUUUAUUUAAUUAAUAAUUGUUAAUAAUAUAUCUUACUUAUAAAAAUUUACCAAUUAGUCGUCCAUCUCGGUCUUCUCAGAUUAACUUUCUGCAGUUUUUUUUAUUUUCCUAUCUUUUUUUGGGAUUUUACAUGAUCUUCAUCUGCCCGUUGAAAGCACAUAGUUGGUUUGUGUACAUGCAUAAGAUUUGUCUCUUGGACAGCAAAUGAAAUGAUGAUUAACAUAUAUAAAAAAAAAUUAGUAAUAUGAGCGUUAGCUCUUAAGCUGCAUGUGAAAGUGGAAGAGUAUAGAGCAUAUGAAGGUCUCCAAUAAUCAACAUCAAAAACCGAGUGAGCAUCUUUUUUUUUGUUCAAAUCGAGUGAGCAUCUAAAUUACAAAAGAAUAAGUCUCAGUCUUGGUCAUGUGAGGUAACAGACGAACGUGAGCUAACUGACAUUGACCAAGAAGUCUCCACUCGUCUUUGUAUGAUCGUGUGUGAAGUGUUACAAGAAAUGCGCACUCUUGGGAACAAGUAAAAAAAAAUAUAAAAUUUUAUUAAUGCAAAUAGAAAAAAGGAAAGCUGCAUGACCCAUGCAACAUAUCUGAAUACAGUGCUUUCAAAUGUUUGAAUUCGAACUGAUCCUCUGGUCUGGUAUACGUGUAAGAUUCUUUUUCAAAGAUAAGAAAAGGAGCAAGUGGUUCUUGUUAAGCUCUAGGGAAACACAUGGAACACUAAAAAGUUUCAUCUCUUUUUGUUUUAUACUGUUUAUACUGUUAUCUAUUAAUUUUGCGUUGUCUUAAUUCUGUAUAUCCCAGAAUACACAUUCAUUGGUUUCGUCCAGAUAUCUUAUGUUUAAUAAGUCUUAGAUUAACCCUCAAGGCAAAAGGCCAAAAACACAUACUAAGUUUCGGAAUUACCCAAUCAAGGUCUUAGUGGAACUCAAUCUUCAUUUUCAACCAAGAAGACAAGAAUGAUGGGUGGUCAAGCUAUGACAAAUAGACGACUAGUUAUCAAAAUUUCACUAAGUGUUAAUAGUUUCUUUAAGGUUCGAUCCUACAUCGACUUAUCACAUCCACGAAGUUAAAGUAUUCAAAUUAUAGUGGAAUAGCGAAAGAAAACUACACAUGCAACCAAGAAAACUAAACUAAUAUAUUGGGAAACAAAUCUAUGAAUUUUGGAACCGUUUAGGUCUAAUAUUAGAUAUGCAUAUAGAUGUAAAUUAUUAUGAGUUAACUCAUUCACAAUUUUGUAUCAUGGCAAAAAAAACAAAUUUUGUAUCAUAACAACAAAUUAUAUGAAAGCUGAUAUGAGAUAUUAGCUUUUGACAUAAAAUAAUAGAGGUUUUUUAAUUGUAAAUAAUUGGUGAGAAUAUGAACUUACUAUAAAGUAUGCAAAAGCAUUAACAUACCCAAGUGGGAAUAUUACUUAUAACUGCAAUUACACUGAGGAAUCGUAAUUCCAAAAGAGAUUAAUGUUCAAUGGAUCUAACCAUCUUAGCCAUAUGAUUUUUUUUUUUUUGCAAUGUCAACUAAACAUAAGAGAUCCAAACGGUAUACUUGUCCAAGAUUGGGGAGCAGAGAGCAUUUGCAGCUAAUUAACAGCUUCUUAAACCCUCAAGCUAUGGCUCUCCUUAACUCAUAGAGGAUCCAAUCCUCUUUUCAAAAGGCUGCCCUCUCUCUCAUCUCUAAUGUAUAUCUCUAUCUCUAAGUCUUUUUUGACAUUCGUGAUGUCAAUGGUGACCAUUAGUUGAGAAAGUUACAAAUGGAUGAUCAUGAUGAUGGUGAACAUGCAUGUCAUGAGUUCCUCAAGUCCCAUGAAGGACACGUAUAAACACACUUUUUCGCAUUCAAUCUUUUUAUAUGUUUCUUUUUUGCAGUCGAAUUAUUCCUUGCGUGAGAGGAGUCUAUACCAUUAAUUUUCACUUUGAUUUAAUUUGCAUUAUUGUACUGAUAACUCCAAGUGGUUGUUAGAUACAGUUAGAACCGGUCGUCGUGUUCUGUAUCUUUGCAGAUAAUGUUUCAAAACGCAUACUCAAACAAAUAACCGUUUCAAAAGAAUAUUAGGACAGAUACCCAUCACACGUAUUGACAUAAUUAUGUUCUAUCGGUUAGGUUCUGUUUGAUAGAUUCACAACGUUUAUUCUUUGUAUGGCCUUAUUAUUCUUUCUAUCUCCGUGAAAUGCUAUAUAUGACUUUGUAACAUUUACUUUGCAUUUUCUAUUCAUUACCAAAAUGGAUGCUAAUUAAGUUGCUAACUUAAAAUUCCUCAUUGUCAUUAUUUUAUACCAAAAUGCAUGUUAUUAGGUUUCAAUUUGGAAUGUGAUACCAAAAUGCAUUUUCUAUUCAUUACCAUAAUGAAUAGAAAAUGCAUUUUGGUAUACCCUAAACCCUAAACUCUAAAUCCUAAACCCAAAUCCUAAACCCUAAACCCAAACCGUAAACCGUAAACCCAAACCCUAUAUCCUAAACCCAAAUCAUAGACUAUAAACUCAAACCAUAUAUGCAAACCUAAUCCCUACACCCUAAACUCAAAUCGUAAACCCUGAACCCAAAUCCUAUAUCCUAAAAGUUUGGGUUAAUGUUGAUGUUGUUUCUUUAGGGUUUAAGAUUUGGGUUUAGAGUCUAAGUUUGGGUUUAGGAUCUAGGGUUUGAGUUUAAGGUCUAGAGUUUGGGUUUAGAGUUUACGGUUUGAGUUUAGGAUUUGGGUUUAAGAUAUAGGGUUUGGGUUUAGGGUUUAGAGUUUGAGUUUAGAAUUUAGAGUUUAGGGUUUAAAUUAAAGGUUUAGGGUUUAGAAUUUAAGAUUUAGGGUUUAGUUAGUGGUGUUAGCGUCAUUAAAAUGAGCGUCAUUAUUUUUAUCAAUUAUUUUAGAUUUUUUUAAAAAAAUAUAUAUAUUUUAUUAUUAAUCUAUGUGGCAUUUUGAUUGGUAAUAAGAAGGGAUGUGAAUUUAAAAGUUCACCUCAGGGGUGAACCUAAGUUUUGUUCAUCUCAUAAGAAAUGGUUAACUUGGUUCAUACUUCUAAAGUUUAGCUAUAUAUAUACCACUUAUUAGGGGGCGAACCUCCAACCAAUAGGAUUGUGUUAUUUCAUAUUUGAUAUCUUUUAAAAAAAGAAACAAAAUAUUAUCAAAUUAUAUUAUCUUUUUAAAAUUAAAAGCUAAAAAGAAAUAAAUAAAAAAUAGUAGUAAUUACAAAAAAAAAUAUUUUUAACGUCGUUAGCAAAACAUUAAACCCUAAAUCCUAAUCCCUAAACUCUAAAUCCUAAACCCUAAAUCCUUGGGUAAACCCUAAACUCUAGGAUAAAUCUUAAACUCUAAAUCAAAAUCACUAAACACUAAAACACUCAAGGGUUUAGGGUUUAGAGUUAUAGGGUUUAGUAUUUUUAUUUAGAGUUUAUGAUUUAUCCAAGGGUUUAGGGUUUACCCCAAGGGUUUAGAGUUUACCCAAGGGUUUAGGGUUUACCGAAAGGUUUAGGGUUCACCCAAGGGUUUAGGGUUUAAAAUUUAGGGUUUAGGGAUUAGGAUUUAUGGUUUAGUGUUUUGCUGACGACGUUAAAAAGAUUUUUUUUAAUUUUUUUUUCUGUAACUACUAUUUUUGUUUACUUUUUUAUUUUAAAAUCAUAAUAUAACUUGACAAUAUUUUGUUUUCUUUUUUAAAAGAUAUCGAAUUUGAAAUAACGAAAAGAGUAAUAUAAAAUUCUGAAAAUGGUUUCUAUAUCGUCAAAGUGGCCAAGUGUUUUAGUAAUGUCUAUAAAUAAGCAUAUAAGAGAGUGAGUAAAUAACAUACCACGGAACACAAGCAACUUCUCUUGUUUCUUUCCCUUCUCUUUGAACACAUUUCCCUUAGCUACUACAUAAAGGACUAACCCUUUAACAUAUAACAACAAGUACACCACAUAAAGUUGAAAAAAAGCGGUUCAUGGACAAGAAAAAGUCAGUAUCAGGUUCCUCCUCAUCCUCAUCUUUCGAUCAUCUUUUUGGUCCAAGAGUCUCUUCCUCGUCUUCUUCAUCAACAACAGGGUUGUUCCAAUCCAUUUUCCCACCACCCUCAAUGGUAUUAAUCAGUAUCAUCAUCAUCAUCAUUUGAAAAGCAUAAAUUGUAUUCUUAUAUAUACUUUAUUUGUUCUCAACUCAAGGGGACGCAAGCGGACUUGGCAAAUCCAAAUGGAGCGGCUAUAUAUCAACCUCCAGGUUUGGGGAUUCCAAGUGAGUCUAUUCACUAUUGGUGACUCUAAUUAACAUAAUGUUUAAAGUGAGAAAUUUAAAUGGGAUUACAGAUGAAAGAGGAGAAAGGAGAAAAAACAAGGAGAGAAAGCGUUACCAAAAUGAAGAAACACAACCACCAUGCAACUUGAGCUCAUCCAUAUAUUAUGGAGGCCAAGAUAACUAUUCCUCCUCAACACCACCACAAUCAACAACCAAUCCAGAUGUUGUAAGUGCUUCUUUAAUACCAAAAUCAGUUGUGCUGCAUAUUGAUGAAAACACUAGCUAGUACUCGAAUUAUCACACACUUCCAUAUAAAAGCUUUGUUUAGACAGAAUUGAAUAUUAGCUUAACUAAACACGUAUGAGUGAGUGUAUUUAGGGUAUCUAGCUAAGUUCAUUCGGAUAUAUCAUUCUAUAUAUGUACUUUGAUUUUAACUCUAAACUCAGCUCAUUCUGAAUUAUCCAGUAUAAGAAAGAUGGAGACGAAGGCGAUUCUGAAAGUGCUUCAAGAGGAAAUUGGUGGGAGGGUAAGAUUGCAAACAUUUUGUAAUAUAUAAACAGCAGCUUCACUUUUUCUCAUUAAUAUUUUUACAUAUUUUCUCAUCCUGUAUAUUAAACUCACCUAUACAUAAUCAAACUGUGCAGGAUCGCUUUAUUACUAGUUAUCAAUCAUAGCCGAGAUGCAAUAUAAGCAAAGGUACAAGACGACUGAUUUUCUUGCUUGAAAUUUAUAUUGACAAAAUCAAUGUCCUCAUCAGGUUUUUCCAUUAGUGAUAUGUUUUGAUACAGAUUACGUGAUCAGUUUGCAGGAACCUUAAUCAAGUGAAGUAAGAUGGAAGUUGACGUUCUGAAAUAUACCUAGAAAAAAAAAAAAAUAUAUAUAUAUAUAUAUACAUACAUAAACUAAAGCAGUAAUGUAAGAGUAUAUACAGCUGGCUUAAAAGAAAGCGAGAAAAAAAUAAUUCUCAUAUAGUAUCUAGUGUGUAUUAUAGUUUAACAUGAAAUUAACGUUUAUGAAAAAGUCUUUGUAUUUAGUUUGAUAUGGACUCCAGUAUAUCACGAUGCCAUGCUGCUUCGCAUGGAAUUAUAUUAUGUCAUAGUAACAAUGUCAUAAGAAGGACCAACUAAACGCUCAGUCCAACAGUUUACAUUUUGGGCCUGUAAUGAAAAAAAGGUAGAAAAAGGCAGAACAGUAAGAAUGGAACAAAAAAAUGCGCCGUUGCCGGUAUUCGAACCCGGGUCACCCGCGUGACAGGCGGGAAUACUUACCACUAUACUACAACGACUUUUAUUGAUUAAAGUUCUACACGAUUAUAUAUCACAUAUAUUUCAUCUUAACAUGUUCAUACAAAACAAUGCUCUCACUAUGUUUUGUUAGAGCAAGCGCAACGGUGAGACUCAUUGGAGUUCUUAGCGACAAGGGCAUUUCGGAUUAAUCCUGGAUAUUUUGGAUUUAAAAAAAUAAAAUAAAAAAUGACCAUUCACGGACCGCCACGUAGUCGUGGGGACUCACAAAUAGUGCAAGGAUUCACUAAGAAAGAGUCAUUAUUUAGGAAUUUUAAGGAUUGAAUCCUUAGCUUUUGGUAGAGUCCACUAAUUAUUUAAUUACUUUUUCCCUAAGGACUUCUACUUAACGAUUCUCGUUGCGCAUGCUCUUAGUUGAUAACAUAAAAAAAAUAAAAGGAUUUUUUUGGAUUUACUUUCAAGCAUAUUUCAACAAGAAAAGUUAAAACUAUGAUAUUUUGCUCGGGUCUGUAAAAUACAUUGUAAACUUUGUCAAUUAAUUAUUUAUUGUUGCAAACCAUUUCAAAUUUUUCUGACUUGUAUGGAAAAGAGAAUGUUUUUGUGUUCACGUACCUUUUGCAAAAAAAAAAAAAAAAAAAAAAAAAAAAAAAAUAAUUCUCAUAUAGUAUCUAGUGUGUAUUAUAGUUUAACAUGAAAUUAACGUUUAUGAAAAAGUCUUUGUAUUUAGUUUGAUAUGGACUCCAGUAUAUCACGAUGCCAUGCUGCUUCGCAUGGAAUUAUAUUAUGUCAUAGUAACAAUGUCAUAAGAAGGACCAAACUAAACGUUCAGUCCAACAGUUUACAUUUUGGGCCUGUAAUGAAAAAAAGGUAGAAAAAGGCAGAACAGCAAGAAUGGAACAAAAAAAAGCGCCGUUGCCGGGGAUCGAACCCGGGUCACCCGCGUGACAGGCGGGAAUACUUACCACUAUACUACAACGACUUUUGUUGAUUAAAGUUCAACAAAAUUAUAUAUAUCACAUAUAUUUCAUCUUAACAUGUUGAAACAAAACAAUGCUCCCACUAUGUUUUGUUAGUUGAUAACAUCAAAAAAUAAAAGGAAUUAUUUGGAUUUACUUUCAAGCAUAUUACAACAAGAAAAGUUAAAACUAUGUUAUUUUGCUCGGGUCUGCAAAAUACAUUGUAAACUUUGUCAAUUGAUUAUUUAUUGUUGCAAACCAUUUCAAAUUUUUCUGACUUGUCUGGAAAAGAGAAUGUUUUUGUGUUCAAGUUCCUUUUGCAAAAAAAAAAAAAAAAUCUGGUACAAACAUUAAAACUGCAAAGAAUAUGAAACAAUCUAAAAGCUUCACCAAAUUUUAAAAACUACAAAAUAGUUUAAUUGUGAUUAAAAAUUUAAAAAGAUGAUCAAUUUAACAGAUACCGGGCACCUUUUUUUUGAAUAAUAUCGGUCACCUUUAAAUUGAUCAUCUUUUCAAAUUUUUAAUCACAAUUAACGAUCGCUGGUAUAGACUACAACAUGCGUUUACCUAAUCUUUUCAAAUUAUGUUCACUGGUAUGAAUCAGAGAUUUGAGGAUUAGGUAAACGCAUGUUGUAGUCUAUCUAACGAUGGGCCGAAUCCGCUUGAGUCACUUAUCCGUAAGGCAUAACUGAUUUGAAAAUCUGCCAAAUAUGCAAAUACAAAAAGAAUGUUAUUAUAUUAAGGAACAAAUGAAAACAAAGACUCUUUCGAAGAUUAAUGUUUCCGAGGUUUUGACCAUUGACGGUUCAAACUAGCUAGUGCUAUAGCGCUAUUGGUAUUGCUCAACACAUACUACUUUCUAUGUCGCACGUGCUGCGCUCGUGAGUAACAGUGUACACCACACAUGCUAUGUGAUAAAACAGUUGGCGUCUCACGUGCUAUAGCAUUGCAUAACCGAGUAAACGAGAAAGAAUCAUUCCUUUUGCAUGUGGACAGAUAAUUUUGGGCCACUCCCUUUGCUUUGAGAGUUUCCAAACUCAAGAAUCUAGGUCUUAUCUUUUGUUUUUCUUGUUCCUUCCGUUGAUUGUUUUUAGAUAACCAUGAUAUAUUAAGAGAUUAACCUUGAAAAAGUGUAAAUGUUAAUAAGGAUUUGUAAAUGUUCAUAUACAUUUCUUUAGGGCUGGAGAUGUAGGUAAUACACGUCGAGUUGAGUCGAUUAUCACUCAUUUCCUUUUGAUAUUUUGAUGUAUUAUAAGAAUAUUUAAAUUAAAGUUGCUUUUAGUUUCCUCGGUCGUCAUUAGAUCUAGUGGAAACUGGAUCGUAGAAUUUGAGAUCAUGCCAAAGGAGAUUGCUGAUAUCAUAUUUUUAUGUAUUGAUCUUUUUCUAUGGUUAAUUCUCGAAGACGCAAUGUAUUGAAAUUAUAUUUGGAUAUUUUCGUAUAAAAUUAUUUUAAAAAGCAGUGUAAAAGAGGUAGUUAACUUAAAGCUCACGAGAUCCAAAUGCGGGCGAACGUUGGAACAGCUAAAUCCACGUCUAAGAUGACAAGGCUUAUGAUUACAAAUAUGGUCAGCAAAUAUUCUCUUCCUAUGCAAUUUAUUCAAUAUUAUUAAUUUAUUUGUCUCCCUCCUAAGCUUGUUCAAAAUCUAUCCGCCUGGCUAUAAUAAUCUUAACCUAACAUCCAUUUUGAAACUUAACAGAAAGUUGACUCCAAUUUUCUUACAUCGAAUAAGUCUGAUAAUAUACUCACGUAGAUGGUAUUACAUCGAAAGCAUAGACACUUCUGAAACUAAAAUUAAUUCUCCAAAUUGUCGAUGUGUUGUAGAGACUACCGAAUUACCGAUGAGAGAAACUUUAAACUGCCUAAUAAUGAAUACCACCCGUGUGGUGCGGCCAAAUCCGCAAAUCUCCAAUGCAUAUCAAUUAACAGAGUCUACAAUGUUACUUAGCAAACAAUUCAAACUCAAGCAAAAUAUCAACUUCGCUACUUUCCUUUGUAACUAUUCUUAAAUAACGCCAAUCAAAAGCGUAUAAAAUGCAUUACAAAAUAAUAUAAGUUUUAACAAAAUUUAGCAAAAAAAAACAAAAUAAAUGCCAAACUGAAGAUAUCUUUUAAAUAAUCUUUAUUAGAAAAUUGAUACUAGAGUAUAGAUAAAGAAAAUGUUGAGGGUUCAUGUGGAUAUAUAUUUUUUGUGAAUCAAGAUCAAAUGAAUAUGCUCUUUAUUUCAAAACCAAAUAGUUGGCUCUAGUCUAAUUGACUAACUGCAAAGAAAAAAAAGAAAGAUUUCGUGAAGUCUCUUCGAUGAGCUACAAAUAAACAGGAAGAAGCCCUUUCGACUUAAGGGAGGGUAAUAGGUUGAGUAACAAGACGUUAUCCGAUCAAGGUUAGGUGAUAGAGGCAGUAGUCAACCCAAAAGAUUGACAGAUUGUAUUACUUAUGAAGGAAAGAGACUUCACAUUUGAGUUAUAUCUUUCUGUCACUAUUUAUCCUUAUAGGCUUUCGGUGGGAAAUUCGAAUGAUAAGUUUGACAUGAGAUUUAUAGAUUUUCUUUGGUUUGGUUCUUGUUUAGUCCACUCCAUUUAUUAUUUAUAUCUCUAUUAUCAACCCAAAUCAAAAUUCGGUACAAUGUAAGUUACCCCAACCAUUCAUCUGCUCUUAUUAUUCUUAUUCAAUUUUUAUUCUACAAAAAAUUACUUGUUUUUUGGUAAUGGUUUGUAGAAUGAAGGCAAAGAGAAAGACAGCUAUUGUAAAGCAUAUGCUGGCAGACACAACCCACCUUCAGUUGCCUCCCCGCACGCGCUCUUCCUCUUGUGUGUAACCCAAUUCCCUUAAGCUCUGCUGAUCUGCUCUCUGCCCAUAAUUUUUUAGUAAAGACCAAUCUGAUUAAUCCCGUCGUGAAUUACGGAAUAAAAAUGGAUUCCACCGCACUUUCUCUUGUUCUUAUUACAAUAUCAGCACAGCUUUCUCAAACAUUAUUUAAAGAAACAGAUUUGCAUAAACGCAUUAACGAAGUUUAUAAUAUUAUUGUGGGUGGGGCUCUUAGUUUUUAAUAGUAGCAUGAUAAUAAUAUAAGUCAGACAUUUGAGAGUAGAGUCCGGAGACAAUAUAUGCAACUAGGGGCGCACAAUAUUUGGCAUAGCAUAUUAGUUCUCUUAAACUAUAACUUUUUAGAGUUUCUUUCGUUUAAAAAUGCUGUUUAUGUUUUCUUGCUUCUAUACAUAUUCCAAAGAUAAGAAAAUAAAAAGAAAGAAGAGAAGGAAGAUCUGUUCCCGCUCUUUUGACUUAACGGUGCUGUCCUUUUCGGUAGGUAAAAGCUGGACCCCACCACCAUUUCACUUCUGUCUUUUUCAUUUUUUAUUAUGUCUCCAUAAAAUAUCUAGGGCGGGAGAUUUAUACAGUUUUAUACAAAACGUCAGACGGAGAAGGAGAGGGACGGAUGACUGAUUAAAAGCUGAAAGUACCACGUCAGCUGUAUUCAAAUUUCCUGAGUGGUCGCGAGAUUUCUAUGAACCUAAUUUCAAAAUCAAAUAAUGAAAGAAUACAAACCUACAUAAUAGGGGCCUUCAGUGGUUACCAAAAAGAAAACCGAUUAACCCUUGGUACUUAAUCAUGUGCCGGUUUGGUUAUAGGAAGUUAGUUGCAAUUAGCGCAAUUAUUUAAAUGUGUGUCAAAUAUACUUAAUGCAGCGUAACUAUUCAGUAGUAAAUGUAAUUAUAAUUAAUGGGGGAAAAGCAGGUAGUGAAGAGGAGAAAAUAUGAGAGCGCAAAUGAUGAGAAGGAUUUGCAUGAAAAAAAGAGAGGAAGGCGUAAUCAUGAAGUGUUCUAUGCUUUUUAUUAGCCCACAUACUCAAUACUUGCUAUUUUAGAUUUCGGCCGACCGAUUAAGAAAAUAUUUAAUUUUGUAUAUUUACUAAAUAAAAACAUCAUUAUCAAUACAUCUAAUCACAUUUUAACUAAUUAAAAAUAAAUAAAAAUAUAAAAUCAAUAAAUUUUGCAUUGAAAUUAUAAAACAACACUGAUUUUGAAAUAAAAAUUUUAUCUUACAACGACAAGUAAUCAAACGGAGGGAGUAAUAUACUUUUUAAUAUAAAUAGAUAUACUACUACAAAGACUGAGAUUUUGUUAAGAGGGUAAUUAAAAAGAUUACAAGACCCAUGAAGCCGUAAAUGACAGCUUAACUGGGAUUAAGUGGGUUCCACCUGUUUUCUGAUGCAUGCCUCGUGCCAAUGCCAUACACAAUAUACUUAACAAGUGUAUAGUAAAAUAAUAAAAAAAUGUUUAUAGAAAAUGAAAGAAAUCAUGUCUCGCAAAUUCUAUUAUGGGCCUGAGGCCAUAAAAACCUUUCCUUUGUUAUGUACCUUUUAAGUUUUUUAAUGAAAGUAUCCAGUUUUCCCAAAAAAAAAAAAAAAUUAAAGAAAAAGACAUAGAUACAUACAUACAUACAUACAUAAAAACUAAAAUCGUACUCCUAAAACAAAUAUUUUUUCUUUUGAAAAAAUUACAGCACAAUAAAUUAUUUUUUUUUCCAAGGCAAAAUAUUUAAAGAAAGACCAAAGGACAUAGUAGUUUUGAAUUUCGUCCAUCACGCAUUAAUUAAGGAUAAUUAAAAAUAAAAUAAAAAGAAGAAGAUAGAGAUAUUAAAGUGCUUUUGAGCUGUCUUAAUAGAAACCCUGAAACCUUAAUAAAAGCAACCACCUCCUCAACAUUCUCCAUCUUCUUCCAUCACUCUCUCCCUCUCUCUCUCUAUCUCGCUUAUCUUUGCUCUUUGUCGAUAUGUCUCGCCUCCCUCCACUUUCCCUCCCUGUCAUGGAGAAUACCCCUGCUUCCGAGCUAACCCCGACUCGACUCGGUUUCCCCACCGAGUUCCCUUACGAGUUCGACUCCCCUGCUUUCACCUCUCCCGGCGACUCCACCGACGAGAGCAGCGACGACGAGGAAGACUUCCUCGCUGGCCUCUCUCGCCGACUCGCUCCCUCGACUCAGCGCCUCCCUCCUCCCUCCUACGAGGUGAAACGUAAGGUCGCAGCUACUUCGCCGCAGUCAACGCUGAGCGGACUCGGAAGCUACUCAACCUCGGGAAGUAGAAGCCCUGUUCUUCCUCCACCUUCUCAAACGACGUCGUUUCCUAGAGACGACGUCUUGGAUGUGAUCUCUGCCGCAGCUGGAGAAGUAGCGAGACUCAAACUCGGAAGCCACGAGCCUCACCACCUUCCCCGCCAAAACGCUGCGUUUCAGACCGACCGCUGUAUCCAGCAGCAGCGUCUGCUUCUUCACCAGAUGUGGCUAUCUUCUCAGUCAAGAAUCAAGAACUCGGAAAACCUUAGACACAUGAAGCAUAAUGCUCUAGUAGCCAACGCCGCUUUGAUGCGUCAGCACGCCGGAACUCCCCUGAAACGUCCGUCUACCGGCACCGGAGUUUUCCUUCCCCGGCGAUACCCAGCAACAACCCCUUCCGAGCCCAUCAAGAAGCCAGCACCAGUAGUCAACACAGCGGCUAUGUUGCAGUCAAAAGUCAACUUUGAUGAGUUUAUCAAUGUUAAGUCAAGACAGAGUCAGUUCGAUUACGGUAAUGAUUCAAACUAGAAACUAUUUUAAGUGUAAGAACACAGUACUUGUGACUUAAUCUAACUUUUUUUAUUAUUUAUUUUAAUUUGAGCAGAGUGCAUGUUAGCAAGAAGUAGACUACUUGCUCGUCAGGGAAACUACAGAGCAGCUGGUUGUCUGAAUCAAGAGAGACGUCUUCCUCAGGACUGGAUGUACUGAAACGGUUUGUUUUGUCUCGGAAGGAGCGUUAGUUAGAAGCGGUUUGGUUUUAGGUUAUAAACUGUGAUUGUUAUGAUAUGGUUAUUAACUAGUAAUAAGGAUUUGGAAAUCCAAAUAAAAGUAGGAGAUAUUUUACAAGUGUGUUACAUUAGUAUAAUAUUAUUGUUAGUCACUUAGACAAUAGCUCUCUGUAAUUUUUAUUUUUUGGACCUUGGGAGGGUUCAAGGGAGUUGAGUGGAGUGUGGUACUAUUUUUUUUUUCACUUUAGUCGACAUGUUAAGUUUCAAAAUGUGUUGGGUUGGGUGGGGGAUUUUGUUAUUUGCUGUAUUAAUUUCACAGUUUUUCUAAUGGGGUUGUAAUAAAAACAUCGCAAUUAUUUUGUUUAUUUUUAAAAUUAUGAAUUGAACUUGUUAAUUUCUUACCUUUACUUCCCAUUUUUAUAAGUACUUUGAUUUUUGUACUUCCAGACCAGAGUUUCGGAUUUAAAGUAGUUGUUUAAAAUUUCAAAAGAAAGAAAGAAACCGUAGUUUUCACCCUAUUUUCUCUCAAGUUUCCUCUCCGCCUCCCUCUUCAAGCUUUCAAUGGUUUUUCUUUUGAUCGGUGUGUGGCGGCUCCUUCAGUGCCGGCGCCGGUCAAAAUCUCUUCUACCGCCUUCUGUUUGCUUUGUCGUUCAUCCGUGUGUGACUUUUUUUUGUUUUGGGAGAAGAUUCGCCUUUGCCAAAUCGUCUUUAGCUUUCAGAUUUAUGAUGGAUUUCUGUUUCAAAGUUCUGGAUCUGUGGAUUGACGUGUGGCUUAGCUACAAAGAUUUUUUACUCGAAUCUCGUUCUAGAUCUGUUUGUCCUGUUGUUGUUGCGGAUCUCCUUUUUUUUUGGAUUGGACUCUUUUUGCAGGUGUUAGACUGUCCUCUUGGAGUUUGUUUUGGCUUCCAUCUAGUCUACAUUUAUGCCGUUCAUGGCAUGUUCUUGUGUUUUGGAUUAGGUGGACCUCGCCCCUAGUUGUUUGUUCAGAUCUCGCGGAGAUCUGUUGUUGUUGCCGCUUCAUACCUAGGCUUUCUACUGUCGUCGUAGAUCAAGCCACUUCUAAGAGUGUUAGUAAGAAUCUUUAUUUGCCGGUUUAUGAAAGUUUGGUUGUUGGGUCCUUGAGGUGUUUCCUCAGAGUUCUAGGAGGAGGUGGUCUACAGUGGUUUAGUCGAGGGUAUUCCCACUAAGCAGCUGCCACAUAAGCUCUAUCAUAUAGUCUCUCUGUAUUUUUGUUAGUCUUGUUCUAGUGAUUUGGAAAGUUAGUUAUUUGUUUUAAGUUUGCAAUAUCGUUGGUUCUUGUAUGCUGCCCCGUUGUGGGUUCUAGUGUCCGGGGAUAUCUUUGUUUUUCUCCGGUUUAGCUGACCACGGAAAGAUCUGUUAUUUGUUGGUGUUGUGUUGAAUUUAUCUUUGUUUUUAAUAAAAUCCGUUGAAGGAAAAAAAAAAAAAAAAAAAAAAAAAAAAAAAAAAAAACCGACCGACCGCUGUAUCCAGCAGCAGCGUCUGCUUCUUCACCAGAUGUGGCUAUCUUCUCAGUCAAGAAUCAAGAACUCGGAAAACCUUAGACACAUGAAGCAUAAUGCUCUAGUAGCCAACGCCGCUUUGAUGCGUCAGCACGCCGGAACUCCCCUGAAACGUCCGUCUACCGGCACCGGAGUUUUCCUUCCCCGGCGAUACCCAGCAACAACCCCUUCCGAGCCCAUCAAGAAGCCAGCACCAGUAGUCAACACAGCGGCUAUGUUGCAGUCAAAAGUCAACUUUGAUGAGUUUAUCAAUGUUAAGUCAAGACAGAGUCAGUUCGAUUACGGUAAUGAUUCAAACUAGAAACUAUUUUAAGUGUAAGAACACAGUACUUGUGACUUAAUCUAACUUUUUUUAUUAUUUAUUUUAAUUUGAGCAGAGUGCAUGUUAGCAAGAAGUAGACUACUUGCUCGUCAGGGAAACUACAGAGCGGCUGGUUGUCUGAAUCAAGAGAGACGUCUUCCUCAGGACUGGAUGUACUGAAACGGUUUGUUUUGUCUCGGAAGGAGCGUUAGUUAGAAGCGGUUUGGUUUUAGGUUAUAAACUGUGAUUGUUAUGAUAUGGUUAUUAACUAGUAAUAAGGAUUUGGAAAUCCAAAUAAAAGUAGGAGAUAUUUUACAAGUGUGUUACAUUAGUAUAAUAUUAUUGUUAGUCACUUAGACAAUAGCUCUCUGUAAUUUUUAUUUUUUGGACCUUGGGAGGGUUCAAGGGAGUUGAGUGGAGUGUGGUACUAUUUUUUUUUUCACUUUAGUCGACAUGUUAAGUUUCAAAAUGUGUUGGGUUGGGUGGGGGAUUUUGUUAUUUGCUGUAUUAAUUUCACAGUUUUUCUAAUGGGGUUGUAAUAAAAACAUCGCAAUUAUUUUGUUUAUUUUUAAAAUUAUGAAUUGAACUUGUUAAUUUCUUACCUUUACUUCCCAUUUUUAUAAGUACUUUGAUUUUUGUACUUCCAGACCAGAGUUUCGGAUUUAAAGUAGUUGUUUAAAAUUUCAAAAGAAAGAAAGAAACCGUAGUUUUCACCCUAUUUUCUCUCAAGUUUCCUCUCCGCCUCCCUCUUCAAGCUUUCAAUGGUUUUUCUUUUGAUCGGUGUGUGGCGGCUCCUUCAGUGCCGGCGCCGGUCAAAAUCUCUUCUACCGCCUUCUGUUUGCUUUGUCGUUCAUCCGUGUGUGACUUUUUUUUGUUUUGGGAGAAGAUUCGCCUUUGCCAAAUCGUCUUUAGCUUUCAGAUUUAUGAUGGAUUUCUGUUUCAAAGUUCUGGAUCUGUGGAUUGACGUGUGGCUUAGCUACAAAGAUUUUUUACUCGAAUCUCGUUCUAGAUCUGUUUGUCCUGUUGUUGUUGCGGAUCUCCUUUUUUUUUGGAUUGGACUCUUUUUGCAGGUGUUAGACUGUCCUCUUGGAGUUUGUUUUGGCUUCCAUCUAGUCUACAUUUAUGCCGUUCAUGGCAUGUUCUUGUGUUUUGGAUUAGGUGGACCUCGCCCCUAGUUGUUUGUUCAGAUCUCGCGGAGAUCUGUUGUUGUUGCCGCUUCAUACCUAGGCUUUCUACUGUCGUCGUAGAUCAAGCCACUUCUAAGAGUGUUAGUAAGAAUCUUUAUUUGCCGGUUUAUGAAAGUUUGGUUGUUGGGUCCUUGAGGUGUUUCCUCAGAGUUCUAGGAGGAGGUGGUCUACAGUGGUUUAGUCGAGGGUAUUCCCACUAAGCAGCUGCCACAUAAGCUCUAUCAUAUAGUCUCUCUGUAUUUUUGUUAGUCUUGUUCUAGUGAUUUGGAAAGUUAGUUAUUUGUUUUAAGUUUGCAAUAUCGUUGGUUCUUGUAUGCUGCCCCGUUGUGGGUUCUAGUGUCCGGGGAUAUCUUUGUUUUUCUCCGGUUUAGCUGACCACGGAAAGAUCUGUUAUUUGUUGGUGUUGUGUUGAAUUUAUCUUUGUUUUUAAUAAAAUCCGUUGAAGGAAAAAAAAAAAAAAAAAAAAAAAAAAAAAAAAAAAAAAAGAAAGAAAGAAACCGUAGUUUCAAUUUUCAAUGAAGCUACUUCCAGACCACUGUAUGUACUUCGAUUAUAGGGAGUUGCAUAUCUAGUGGGUAGAUACGUAUUCUUUUUGAAAAAAUAAAAUAAAGAAGCAUGACAUGGAAACAUGGUAACAUGGAAAAAAGCAAAAAGAAAGAGGUAAAGAAGAUCUGAAAGAAAGAAAAAAGAAGAGAAGGGUUGCGUAGGCGUGAAGCAGUGGGAAAAUAUGCACAGACUUUGAAAAAUAGAACACACCUUUUUAUUUUCCUCUCUAUAAAUGUAAAUCUUAUCUAUUAUCUGCUGUACUUGUGUGUGAUAUAAGAUUACAUGCCCUCUAAUAUCUACGUAAAUUGGCACGUUUUCUAAUUAGAUAGUAGACUUUGAACGUUUACAGUCUUGCCUACACCUAAUAUAGUACAGGUUUAGAUACUUAAGAAAGUUGAUGUUGCCAUCUAUGAAUGAGAUCGUUCAGCAGACUUUGGAUUCAAAUUAACAAUAGAUCAUACUAACCAUAAAAAGAAACAAAUGUAACAGCUUUUGUCAUUUGUCCAUUUAUAUAUUAUGUUAAGAGUCCAUCUAUAUCAUCUCACCUUAAUAUGGGAAUGAUUUUGUGCUAUAUCGUGAUGAGCACUUUGACAACACUUGAGAGACUUAUCAACAAAUCAUAGAUACAUCCUUUAAGACUAAUCCAAGAUCAAAGCCAGUAACGAGGAUAAACCUAUAUUCACCCUUUGAAACAAAAAAAAAAGUUAGAAGAAAGACCCUAUAGACCUGUAUGUCGACCCUACAUCCAUUACCAAUCAACCCAUAAUCCACAUAAGAGGAGGCCUAGAAGUUAGUCUUAUUCUACUAACGAUUCAUUAUUAUGUAUGAAUGUGUCCUUCAAACAGAACUAGAUUCGAUUGAUGUCAACUUGAAUCAAACACAUAGUUGGUGUACUUGCGUGUCAACAAAACAGAGCAGGAAGUAGAAAGAUGUCAAUAAUAGAGUAGAGUGGAGUGUUGCGUUGAAACUUGAAGUGUUGCGUUGAAACUCGAAAGUAAUAAAAUUAUAACGGAAAAUCGCUUAAAAAACUUUGAAAAUUUCCCUUACUAGCACUUUAAACCACGAAGUUUUUUCUCUGACAUUUUUAACUUUUAAAGUGACAUUUGUAUCAUAAAAAACCUCCAAAUUAAAAAAUUGACAUGUUGAACAGGUUAAAAAGUGAUGUAUCAGUUUUUUUUUCAAAAAAUAAUUAUUUAAUUAAUAAAAUAAAUAAAAAUCUAAAUAAAGUUUAGAAAAUUAAAUAAAAAUCGAAAAUUCAAUAAAAAUUCAGGAAAAUCUAAGCAAAAAUCCGAAAAUUAAAUAAAAAUUAAAUAAAUAUUUUAAAAAAUUAAAUAAAAAUAAAAAGAAAUAAAAAUUAAAUAAUAAAUAAGAUUAAAUUAAAAUACAGAAGAACUAAAUAAUAAAUUUAUUUAUUUAAUUUUCUAAUUUGAUUUGAUCUCAUUUUUUUGAUUUUUUAGUUAAUUUUUAAUUUUCUGAUAUUUAAUUAAUUUCUGAUUUUUUAAAAUUAAUUUCUGAUUUUUAUUUAAUUUAUGAGUUUUUAUUUAAUUUUUGUGUAUAUAAAAACAAAAAAAAUAAAAAAUCCGAAAUUAUUUAAUUUAUUUUUAAAAUAUUUAUUUUAUUCUGAAAUUUUUAUUUAAUUUUCUGAUUUUGAUUUUGAUUUUCCUGAAUUUUUUAUUAAAUUUUCAAUUUUUAUUUAAUUUUCUAAACUUCUAUUUAGAUUUUUAUUUAUUUUAUUAAUUAAAUAAUUUUUUUAGAAAAAAUAAUUGACACAUCAUUCUUUUAACUCGUUUAACAGAUCAAUUUUUUAGUUUGGAGGUUUUUUAUGGUACAAAUGUCACUUUGAAGACUAAAAGUGUUAGUGAAAAAUUUCAAAGUUUAAAGUGCUACCAAGUAACGCUUUCAAAGUUUUUUAUGCGAUUUUCUCAAAUUAUAACUAAAACAUUUUGUUCUUCAGUCUUCACUAUCGCUGAACGCAUUCAAAAUGGCACCAGCCAAUCGUUAUUUUGUAUAUCUAUUUAUAUAUUGAAUAAUUUAAAUAUCGUUUUGGUUUUGUUUCAAAUUUCGAAAUAUUUUUUUAUGAAUAAUUUAUAUAUUUCGAGGGCGUUGAUUGUUGCACACAUUCCGCAAUUCCGAAUAAAAGCCAAGAGCAAUCACAUUUCUUGUUCAACAUUGAACCUUUUCUUUAUGUGCUAUGAGUUUCAACUAUUCUUAAAGAUGAAGUCGAGAAAGAAACAAAAGAAGUGAAGCCGCAAAAAUCUAAAGACAAAAGAGUGAAGACAUGUGUUUGGUUUGGGAGAUGUGGAUCCAAGCAGCUUUAUCAUUUGACUUGGUCAAACUUGAAUUCAAUGUUAACACAAUUUACUAUAUGCUCGAUUUUAUAAUGUUUACUUUUUUGGUUUUAUGAUUUUUAUAGUAUUGUAUAACAUGAGAACUGUUACUUUUCAAAUAAUGACGUUACAAUACUUACAUUUACACGAGGUCAUUUUUCAUUUCUACUUGGAUCCGAAUGAUUGUUCAUGUUUUAGUAUAGAAUACCCUAUCUCGUUAACUUUCCAUGCAAUAUCAUUCCGGAACAAUGUAUAAGCACGUGCUUGGAUUUAUAUAUACACCAAAACAUAGGAUCUAUGAUUAGGAGUGCAUAUUUAGACAUAACCGAAUUAUUCAAAUCAAGAUCAUUCAAAAUGUACUGGAACAUACCGAAUCUAAAAUGUACUGGAAAAAAUCGAACUAUAUAUACUGACAUUUAUAUUUAAGUCAUAUUUAUGAUAAAAACUAAUACUGAAAUAUGUAUUAAUAAUGCCGUGUUAGUACAAUAUCAGUUAUGAUCUAUAGUACUUAUUUUUAUAUUACUCUUGACCAAUUUAAAUUCAACCCAUACUAUAAAUUUCAUUAAACAUAAGACUAAACAAACAAACCAAUACUAGACACUUCAUUUGAAUUAAUUUCAUCUCUAGCUGAUUGAGUUUCCAUUUUAUUGAACCAAACAAACAUAAAGAAGAAACCAGAAUCGAACCACAGGUCAUUAGCUCAACGGUAAAAGAUCACGAUCAUUGUGUCAGAAAUCUCUAGAUCGAAUAACCGCUGGAACAAAACUAAUAAUUUCCUCUGUUUCAUAAUAAAUGAAGUUUUGGUUCUUUGCACAUAUAUUAAGAAAAUUAGAUUAUGUAAACAAAAAUCAUUAAAAUUAAUUUAAAACUAAUUUAUUUAAUUAUUAAAAAAAAAAAAAAUUAGCUACACAGUUUUUGAUAAAGUUAAAGUUAUCUAGAUAUGUGAAAAUAUCAUCUAUUGUGAAACAAAAACAAUGACCUAAAAAAUCAUCUAUGUUGAAAUGGAGAGAGUAUUAUAUGAUGCGGUUUCGGAACUAGGGAAAUUAGGGCUUCUGUUGAACUUCCUGGUAAUUCAAAAAAAAAAACGAACCUAUAGUAUAGUAGUAGUGAAUUAUUAUGUUUUGGUAGGUCAUCAUUGUUGAUAAAUUUUCAAAAAUAUAAUUAUUAUUUAGCCAUUAUGUCUCUCAGAGGACGACAAGGUGUCCAUAACUCCAUAUAUAAAUGGCAGCAGUGUGAGUAAAGCAAAAGCUAUAAUCAAUCUUCAUUAUCGGAUAAUUUGUAUUCCUUUCUACGCAAUGGGAUGAUGUCAAUAUUGUGAGUGAUAGUUUAAAGACUUUAUGUCAACAGAUAGCUAGACCCUUUGACGAGGUAUAAUAGCUCUACAAGUAUUUACAUGCGACUAUGAUUUAAAUCUAUGAGUUUGGAAGAUGAGUUGCGUUUUUAGAAAUAAUUUACCGCUACUAGUUUCGGAUGAAAGCAAACUAUAUAAACUAAUGAUUAUAAAAAUAUAUUAAUAUAAGAGAAAUUCUCUAGCCUUAAACUUUUGUCGCAAAAAUAGUUUUCAUUGAGAAAAAUGACCAAUUUUUUUUAUUAAAAGGUAAAAAUACAUUUUUACUCUAGGAUUAACUAAUCUAGAAUUAGGAUUUAGAGUUAAUGGGUGAGGUUUUAGGGAUAUGGUUUCAAAUUUUUAAAAUUAAAAAAUAAAAAUUAAAAUUUUCAAAAUAAAAAUAGACUAUUUUAGUCAUUUUCUUUUUUGAGGAUUAUUUUUGUGACAAAAACUUAAAAGAACUAUUUGAAAAGAUUGUCCUUAAUAUAAAUUUUGUUGAUCGGUCGAUCCAUGUCAGGGAUCGAACCAUGCGGCACGGAUAGUUCGUUCUUUACCAAAUCCAUGAAAAAUAGAAAGUUUUAUUGAAGGCUUUUUACCUUAGUGUAUAGCACAAAUUAUACUAUGAAAAUCUACAUGUAUCAAUAAAUACUUUUUUUCUCCGUGAACGCAUAACUCUAGAGAUGAAUCACGUUAAAUCUCUCUGUUUUUUUAUUGUUUAUUUAUUCUGUUAGUUCGUUUCUUCUCACAUCUUUUUUUUUAACACAAAUACUUUCAUUAAUAAAGGAGAAGUUCCAAAGAUUAGUUUAUGAACUUUAAUACAUCAUGAUAGUUUCUGAGAGAGGCCUUGGCCAACCCAUCAGUUUCCUCGUUUUGGAAACGAAGGAUGAAGAUGAAACUUAUUGAAAAGAACAAAGAAGAGAGUCAUUCCAUAUAUGCAAGAAUACCAUAGAUUUCUUUCUGGAACUGCUUGUUGGUGAUAGCUUUGAUAAGCGUUUGACUGUCGGAGCGUACAUGUAUAGAAGAUAUGCCAAGUGAUGCUGCCGGUCUGAUGGCCAUGGCUUCUGCCAUCAGAGGAGAAGAGACGAAGUCAUGUAUCUUCGAUUCCUUGUGGUUGAUCUUCGUGCGGGUGUCUUUGAAAACCCAUGCAAGACCAGAUCGUUUACUCGAUUUUUCUCGAGAUGCAUCUGUGAAACAGAUCGUUUCGAGACUGGGAUCGUCAAUUAGGUAUCUUCUUUCAAAGAUUUUGGCUUUGUUGUUUGCCGUGUGUUGCUUGGAUAAAAUUAUUUAUCAUACGAUCAGGCUCCAGACUUCAUGCGCAUAGAGGCAUGAAAAAAGGAGAUUGAUGGUGCCUCCUGGCAUCUUGGACAACAGAUGUCUGCCAUAAUUUCGCGUCUUCUCAGGUUAUCGAACACAAGACCAGAGAAACAGUUUUAGCUUCUGUGAGACUUGUCCUGACCAUACAUCAUUUAUCCAUCGGAAUCCAUUAAUGUUUUGCAGAGCUUUUCACAUCUAUCACAACAAAGCAAAUUAUUUAAGUUUCCAACUUUGAUUAAAGAAAAUUUCCAACCACACAAAAAUAUAUAUAACCAAAAAUUCUCUAUAGUACAUGCUUUUGCCACGAUUAUUUUAUCUAGAUAUACAAUGAAAUUUAUUUAUUAUGCAAAAUUAUAAUUCUAUUUGAAUAACUUCAUACAACUUUUUAAAUCUGAAAUUUUGAAUCCAUAAAAUUAUUUGACCAAGAAAAGAAAGAAUCCAUGUAUAGUUAUGAAACCGGAGGCCUUCUUUUGGUAGGCUAUCAAAGGCCCAUGCUUGCCCCAUGUUUUAAAUAGGCUCUCCUAUUUUUUUUUUCUUUUUUUUUUUUUGUCUUUUCCCCAAGCAACCCAGAGAAGAGAUUUUGCGUCCCACAUAUGUUAUUUUUGACGCCGAGGAUUUGUCAAUCCCUGAUCCUCUUUUGUUGAAAAAGAAUAUCGUAACAGCUAUUAAGGAAGAAGGUUAUGGUGGGUUGAUUGAAGUCAAGGGUUACUUUGGUGACAAGCAAACCAUCUCCCAAAAGUUGCUCGAAUGAACAUGAUGUUAGUGGAGCUUCUUUUCUGGGCAAUUGCCCAUUAUCCUCAAGGAACAAAUGUUUUGAUUAUCACUAGAAACGAAAACAUCCUAGGACACCCUAAGAUCUCUCAGAUCAUUCAUGGUUUGGAAGAAAGAGAUUUUUAUUUUGCAAUUGAACAUAUUGAUCGCUUCUUUUCCCCAGUGGACACCCUAAGAUCUCUCAGAUCAUAUGUUAGUACAGAUUCUCUUUUGUAGAAUGAAUAAAUCUUUAGCUAUUUAGCUUAUUUCUUGUAGUGGGAGGCAAAGAAGAGCCGAACAAGCGCUUAAUGUUCUACUGUGGUCUUACCGCAAGAGAAGAGGAGGUGCAGCUUGCUACAUAAUUAUCUUUUAUGUAUGUUUCUUCAAUUUUCAUCAUCUUAUCUAAUAUUAUGAAAAUCCAAAAAAAUUAUUGUUCUUUUCUUUCGUUGGCAUAUGCUAUUGGUUUCGUGAUCAUUAUUAUUUUUUUAACUUGUGCAAAAAAAAGAUCUUAGCAUUAGGUGAUGAAAAAUAAAAAAGAGGAUGAUUUGAUUUUGGGCAUCUCUAGGGUUUUUGGUUAAUUGGGUCAAGGAGAAAGUGUUCCUUGUCGGAUACGAAACAAAGAAACUGAUGGUUAGAAGAGAAAACUCUGUCUCUGUCUCCGUUGAAGCGUUUUGUGACUAAGUGUUGUGUUUGGGUUUUGUGAAGAGGAGCAGUUUGAGAUCUACGAUGAGGGAUGAUCGGAGAGCCGUGAAGGUGGUGAGGAGGAUGGAGGAGUUUAAGGAUCAUAUUUGGAAACUAACAACAUGCUUACUCAUUUCACUCGACAGACCAUGCAUGCCCAAUUUACCUGCUCUAUAUGCACAUUAUACACGAACGAUCACUUAUUCUCUUCUGGCUGUGACUAAAAUUACAAGAAACCUUUGAAAGAACUUAUUUAUUUAUUUCGUAGAGCUGAACACAACACAUACUAAUAUAAGUGAUUGUAGUCCUCCACUUUUUGCAACCUCCAUUAAUACAAAUAUGUUAAAAAUAUCUGGCACAUUACCUAUCAUUUUCUUCGUGAUGGAACAUCCUUACCUUUGAAGUCAUCAGUGAAGGAGAUUGAAAAUGCUAACUCGUUUAGAAGAAAGUCAAUUUUCAAUAGCACGAUGAGUAGUGAAUACCAGUAGAAUAUUAAAAGUUAAAACUAUGUUAAUGAAUAGUGGAUUCAGACAAAAAAAUAUGUAUGACAUAUGACAAUUAAGGGGGGGUUAUUGGUUUAAGAAUUUUUAAAGAAUUAUAAAAUUUUAAGAAUCCAUGGUUAUUGCUUUAUGGAUUUUAAAAGUUUUUCCAAAAUCCAUUGUUAUUGGUUUUAAUACUUGUAAAUUCUAUUCAAAUCCUUUGUUAUUCAAAAAGUUUAGUUUUUAUUGAUUUUGCUAUUUUAUUCAAAUCUAUGGUUAUUGAGAACUAAAUUAUUUAUAUUUUAACUCAUAAGCUAGACUUUGAAAAUAGUAUGUCUACUCAUAAGAUUUCUGAAAUCUGUGUACUAAUAAAAACAUUCCCACACUUUAUGAUAUAUUUUUCUUGUUUGACAUGAGAUUUUCAGAAGAUUUCUUUGUCGGUAAGUUUCAUAGUUGGUGUGUUCUAACAUAAUUUUUCGUUUGUAUGAGUGGUGUCUCAAAAAAAAUGUCAAUGAAAACAAGACUGUUAAAAAUAUGUCAUAUAGUAUGAAGAUAAAAAAUGAUUAUUUUCACAACAUAACUAAGAACAAACCAUGCAUAACACAAAUAACCAAUACCUUAAAAUGCAUUUGUCUAUGUAAACACACCAAACGAUAAUAUAAUAGUGUCUCAUCGAAAUUCAUUGUUAGAAAAUUUCUACAACUUUUUUUGUACCUUAGAAGCAAAAACUUUUUGAAAAACUAUAUUGUGCAAAUUCUUAAUAAUCAAUGAUAAUCUAUAGAAAUCAAUACAAAAUAUUUGAUAGAAAUUAGGAAACAUUUGUGAAAUCUACUAAACUUUUAAAAAUCUGUCAAAUUCUAAAAUCACUUAAUUCUUUCCAAAUUCUGGUUCCAAUAACCCCCCGAAACUUUGAAAAUAAUAAAUUAUGUAUCAACCGCAAAAUCACAAAAACUGUAUAAUCUUACAGCUUAUGCUACUCAUUCCUUUAACAAAAUAAUAUAAAAUUGUAACAGCUAAAAUGAACUAAACCAUAUACUUAUUUAGAAACGCUUGCGUCUGGUUAAUACGUCAAUAUAACUAGGUGUUUUACCUGCACAUGUGAACAUAAUCGUUUUACUAAUAAUUAUUAAUAUACGUAAUAUGAUUUAAACAUCAUGAUAACUUAUUCUUUAUAUUCUUAAUCAUUUUAGUUUUCUUCGAUUUUUAUUUCGGUUUACGUCUCCUUAACACAAAGAAAAGCUAGAAAACUAUGAAACCGUAAGAGCAUAAUUACAUAUCAAAUACUCCACACAAUAAAGUAAAGUAAGAAUGUGAACUUUUGGUCUUUUUUAAUCUACUUUAUAUUUUUGAACCAGAAAUAUGUAUUAAAUUACAAAAAAAUAAUAAUACUAAAACACACACAAUCCAAGUAAGAACAAAAUAAAUAAAAAGUAAAUAAAAACUAAAGUUCGAUGAUAAUUUAGAAGAAAACUUAAAAAAAAACGAAAUUGAGAUAAUGAUAAUAUUUCAUUGGUUUACUUGAUCAAUAUAUACAUUGAGUUAUCUUAAUAUUUCAUAAGUUUACUUCUAAUAAAAGAAUUAAUAGAUAAUGAUAGUUUUAUUAUUAAAGUUAAUUUAUGGUUAAUUACAUAAUGAAAAAUCUAAUUAUUCAUUAAAAAUAUAUCUAUUUUAGCUGUUUUAGAAACUAAAUCGUUAAACACAUGUUCAUAACAUGAUUACAUAGGCAACUCUCUAAACUUAAUAUCAAAGCAUAUUUUUCUUAUAGAUUAAACAAUAAUAAAACAUACACGUGAAAUAACUACUGAAAGUACAUAAAUAUAGAUGUCAAAAACUAUAAUCGAGACAACUUGGAAUGAAUGAAAAAAAUGAAAGUAUAGAGUUUAAAACAUCUUACAUCAUGUGAAAAUAAAAAUUGGUCCUAACUUGUUUAAAAUAAUUAUAAUUGUAAUUCCAAUUAGAAAUUUUGAAAUAGUUAUGUUAUUUAAAUUAAUAAAUUAAUAAUUUAAUCUAAAUCCUAGUAAGAAUCUUGUGAAAUUUAAAAUAAUUAUAAUCAUAAUUCCAAUUAGAAAUUUCGAAAUAGUUUAUUAUUUAAAUUAAUAAAUUAAUAAAUUAAUUAGAAAUCGAAAUAUUUAUAUUAUCUAAAUUAAUAAAUUGAUGAUUUAAUCUAAAAACUACUAAGAAUAUGACAAAUAAGCAAAAGCUAAAAUCAUGGAGAAUUUAAAUUAAUAAAUUAAUUAGAAAUCAAAAUAUUUAUAUUAUCUAAAUUAAUAAAUUGAUGAUUUAAUCUAAAAACUACUAAGAAUAUGACAAAUAAGCAAAAUUAGCUAAAAUGAUGGAGAAUGAGACAAAUCAGCAAAAUCACUUCAUAAAUAAUAGUAUAGAUAAUGGAAACCAAAAAGUAGAAAAUAAUUAAAGUGGAACAAAAAAACUUGAUGAAGGUGGAAAUUAAAAGAUAAAAGGAUAACAAAGGGUUGAAAAACAAAACACAUUGCUCUCAACUUUGAGAGAGAGAGAGAGAACAUAUUCUUCAUAGCAACUAGAGGAAGGAUCCAAAGGGAUCGCAUUGAUCCUAAGUCGAGUGAAUUCUCCUUAAUAUUUUCUUAAUUAUUGGCAAAAAAUUCCAAUAUUUUGCUUGGUUUUGGAUCAUGCUAUCCCUUUCGAUUCAUCCUUCGGUAGCUUCAUCUUCGAUCAAACGGUUAUAGUAGACUCUUCACUGGAGAUUUUGUUUGGCUUAACAAAUCUGCGACGCUUUGGUCUCAAGCCAACAACAACAAUCUUGGAAACUCUCUUCUUACAAGUAAGUUUCAAAGACUCUUCUUGAGUCUUGACCAAAGCGAAUCAUGCCAAAAAUUGAAGACCUACCUGUUUUUUGUCUUUUUUUAUUUGGAUCGAAUUUCCAAUUUACCAUAGCGGAAAAUCUUAAUUGAUUAGUUAUCAAAUAUUACUGUAUAUGUUGAUAUAUAUGAAAUAUAGCACUUGAAGUUACUUUUAACUGGUUUAAACUUUCUGAAAAUACCUACAUGGCCAUUUCUGAAAACUAUUUUUUCAGUUAAAUACCAUAUAUAUAUAAUUGGUGCAUAUUGGUGUAUAUAUAUUUGUGCAUCUUUCAUAUCAGUUAUUUCCUUAAAUAUAUGGUAACUUUAUAUUCAUUCGAGAUUACUUUCUACACAUGCUUACUAGUUUGAAAUCCCAAGUCCCAAAGUCUCGUUGGAUCCCGUUAAAUUAAAUCAAGUAGGACUUGGAGUAGAGGUGUACAUAUGUUCACAGGAAAAGGACUUGGACCAUUUUAACUUUACCCAACUUAAUAGAAUUCCAAACUGAAAAAGAAUAAAAAACUUAAACAACGAAUCCAAAGGAAAAAACGAAGAUAAACACUGAACCUAACUACAACGCAUAUAAAUGUAUAUUAAAAACAGAAAUCAGGACAAAUCUUCAUCGCAAAGUACAACGAGUUACAGACUAAUCUUACUUAGUUAACAACAAAAAGUAUAUAUUACAUUUUACUUUAUAGUUUUUCUUCAAUUAAACGCAAAUAUAUCCCAGUGUGAAUAGAAUGUCAUUCGGAAAAUUGAUUUGUGGCAGGUUUAGAAAUAGUUUGAAGAAAAAUUUAUGGUUAAUUAACAUCAUUGUGUUUUUGUCUGAAGAAAGUCAGGACUAUCUGAAAAUAACAGCCACGAUCAUAACCUGAGGACAUCAUCAUUAGUAAGAUGGUUGACUUUCAAACAUGAAUACGCAUAUCAUACACACAUUAUGCAUAUCUUUAUUAUUAUUUCCUUCUUACAAUCAUUUUUCUCCCCACUGUAAUGUGUGAAAGAAGAAAAGAGCGGAAAAAUAUCUAAAGAAAUCAAAUUGAACUAAGAAGAAAAGGAACAGAAUCAUGACAUUGAAUUUGAUGUUGUUUACGUGCAAAAGAUUUUGGUGGACCGGCAGAUAUGGAAGAAAGGACGAUGUAUUUCUUCAUCUGCGAGAUUUGAAAUUACAUUGUCUCCUUCUUUCCCNNNNNNNNNNNNNNNNNNNNNNNNNNNNNNNNNNNNNNNNNNNNNNNNNNNNNNNNNNNNNNNNNNNNNNNNNNNNNNNNNNNNNNNNNNNNNNNNNNNNNNNNNNNNNNNNNNNNNNNNNNNNNNNNNNNNNNNNNNNNNNNNNNNNNNNNNNNNNNNNNNNNNNNNNNNNNNNNNNNNNNNNNNNNNNNNNNNNNNNNNNNNNNNNNNNNNNNNNNNNNNNNNNNNNNNNNNNNNNNNNNNNNNNNNNNNNNNNNNNNNNNNNNNNNNNNNNNNNNNNNNNNNNNNNNNNNNNNNNNNNNNNNNNNNNNNNNNNNNNNNNNNNNNNNNNNNNNNNNNNNNNNNNNNNNNNNNNNNNNNNNNNNNNNNNNNNNNNNNNNNNNNNNNNNNNNNNNNNNNNNNNNNNNNNNNNNNNNNNNNNNNNNNNNNNNNNNNNNNNNNNNNNNNNNNNNNNNNNNNNNNNNNNNNNNNNNNNNNNNNNNNNNNNNNNNNNNNNNNNNNNNNNNNNNNNNNNNNNNNNNNNNNNNNNNNNNNNNNNNNNNNNNNNNNNNNNNNNNNNNNNNNNNNNNNNNNNNNNNNNNNNNNNNNNNNNNNNNNNNNNNNNNNNNNNNNNNNNNNNNNNNNNNNNNNNNNNNNNNNNNNNNNNNNNNNNNNNNNNNNNNNNNNNNNNNNNNNNNNNNNNNNNNNNNNNNNNNNNNNNNNNNNNNNNNNNNNNNNNNNNNNNNNNNNNNNNNNNNNNNNNNNNNNNNNNNNNNNNNNNNNNNNNNNNNNNNNNNNNNNNNNNNNNNNNNNNNNNNNNNNNNNNNNNNNNNNNNNNNNNNNNNNNNNNNNNNNNNNNNNNNNNNNNNNNNNNNNNNNNNNNNNNNNNNNNNNNNNNNNNNNNNNNNNNNNNNNNNNNNNNNNNNNNNNNNNNNNNNNNNNNNNNNNNNNNNNNNNNNNNNNNNNNNNNNNNNNNNNNNNNNNNNNNNNNNNNNNNNNNNNNNNNNNNNNNNNNNNNNNNNNNNNNNNNNNNNNNNNNNNNNNNNNNNNNNNNNNNNNNNNNNNNNNNNNNNNNNNNNNNNNNNNNNNNNNNNNNNNNNNNNNNNNNNNNNNNNNNNNNNNNNNNNNNNNNNNNNNNNNNNNNNNNNNNNNNNNNNNNNNNNNNNNNNNNNNNNNNNNNNNNNNNNNNNNNNNNNNNNNNNNNNNNNNNNNNNNNNNNNNNNNNNNNNNNNNNNNNNNNNNNNNNNNNNNNNNNNNNNNNNNNNNNNNNNNNNNNNNNNNNNNNNNNNNNNNNNNNNNNNNNNNNNNNNNNNNNNNNNNNNNNNNNNNNNNNNNNNNNNNNNNNNNNNNNNNNNNNNNNNNNNNNNNNNNNNNNNNNNNNNNNNNNNNNNNNNNNNNNNNNNNNNNNNNNNNNNNNNNNNNNNNNNNNNNNNNNNNNNNNNNNNNNNNNNNNNNNNNNNNNNNNNNNNNNNNNNNNNNNNNNNNNNNNNNNNNNNNNNNNNNNNNNNNNNNNNNNNNNNNNNNNNNNNNNNNNNNNNNNNNNNNNNNNNNNNNNNNNNNNNNNNNNNNNNNNNNNNNNNNNNNNNNNNNNNNNNNNNNNNNNNNNNNNNNNNNNNNNNNNNNNNNNNNNNNNNNNNNNNNNNNNNNNNNNNNNNNNNNNNNNNNNNNNNNNNNNNNNNNNNNNNNNNNNNNNNNNNNNNNNNNNNNNNNNNNNNNNNNNNNNNNNNNNNNNNNNNNNNNNNNNNNNNNNNNNNNNNNNNNNNNNNNNNNNNNNNNNNNNNNNNNNNNNNNNNNNNNNNNNNNNNNNNNNNNNNNNNNNNNNNNNNNNNNNNNNNNNNNNNNNNNNNNNNNNNNNNNNNNNNNNNNNNNNNNNNNNNNNNNNNNNNNNNNNNNNNNNNNNNNNNNNNNNNNNNNNNNNNNNNNNNNNNNNNNNNNNNNNNNNNNNNNNNNNNNNNNNNNNNNNAGUGAUCAGACACAAUUCAUAAAAGCUUUUUUUGUCCAAAACAAAGCUAAACAACUAAAACUCAAGUUACAGAAGUUACCAAAUGCUUGAUAUAACAGAGUAUUUACAGUCAAUCAGGGAAAAAGCUUUGCAAUCACAAGUUCAAACAAAGUUACAGACUGUUUCAAACAAGUGCUUAGUUGACUAACAGAAAGUUCACAAAGAGCUAAAACGUUCUUUCCAAAGAAGAGACAAUCUCAAUUCUACAACAAUCCAUCAGUUCAAAAAGCUUUAUCAUCUCGCCAUUAGCUUAAAAGAAUCACAGUAUCACAAGACAGCAAGAUACAGUUUACUAGUAGUCUAGUAUCAUAAAGAUCAUAACAUCAGUCUCAGAUUUUCAACAAACCCAGAAACUCUAGAGAUCGAUUUCAACAAACCCAGAACAAAACUAGAAGAACGUACCUCACAGAAUGCUUAUUGGAGAAGACGGAUACAACCCCGACGACGCUCUUCGAAAUCGAUCUCUAGGGUUGGUGUGUUCGUUGAAAUCAAUCCAGGAGCAGCAGAACUUGAUGAGGACGUCGUGUUAUCGGAUUUGAAUUUGAGCAGCUUCGUUCAGAUUCUAGGGUUCACGUUGCGAUCCUCUUUGUUUCUCUCUUUUCUGGUUUCUGGAAAAAAGAGACGGCCUUGAAGAAAAAUCAAAACUACGUCUCGGUUAAGAUUCUCAAUUCAGAUACUUACUAAUAAUUAGUAAUAUAUGUAUUAUAAUUUAAAAAAUCAUAAUAACUUAUUUUUAUAUUCUUAAUCAUUUUAAUUCUCUUCGAUUUUUAUUUCGAUCUAAUUCUUUUUAACACAAAGGAAAGCUAUAAAACUAUGAGAGGAUAAAAACAUAAUUACAUAUCAAAUAUUCCACCCAAUAAAGUAAAGUAAGAAUGUGAACUUUUGAUCUCUCUCAAUCUACUUUGUAUUUUUGAACCAUAAACAUGAAUUAACUUACCAAAAACAAACAUUAAAACACACAAAAUCCAAAUAAGAACAAAAUAAAUAAAAACUAAAGUUUGAUGAUAAUUUUGAAGAUUUUUUUUUAAAACAAAUUGAGAUAAUAACAAAUUUCAUUGGUUUACUUGAUCAAUAUAUACAUUGACUUAUCUUAAUAUUUUAUAAGUUUAAUUUUAAUAAAAGAAACAAUAAAUAAUGAUAGUUUUAUUAUUAAAGUUAAUUUAUGGUUAAUUAUAUAAUGAUAAAUCUAAUUAUUCAUUAAAAAUAUAUUUACUUUUAUUUGUUUUAGAAACUAAACCAUUAAAGACAUGUUUAUAACAUGAUUACAUAAAUUCUCUAAAUUUAAUAUCAAAGAAUAUUAUUCUUACAGAUUAAACAGUAAUAAAACAUAUACGUGAAAUAACUACUGAAGUAAUUCGGAAUACCUAAUUCCUAAUUCCAAAUUCCAUGUAACAAAAAUGAUUUGCUCCUAGUAUUUCAGACUCAAAGAAAGAAGAAAAACAUAGAACUUCAACUAUAAAAAAAAAAAUAUCAAAAGUGCAUAAAUAUAGAUGUCAAAAACUAUAAUCGAGACAACUUGGAAUGAAUGAAAAAAUGAAACUAUAGAGUUUAAAACAUCUUACAUCAUAUGAAAAUAAUAAUUGGUCCUAACUUGUUUAAAAUAAUUAUAAUUGUAAUUCCAAUUAGAAAUUUUGAAAUAGUUAUGUUAUUUAAAUUAAUAAAUUAAUAAUUUAAUCUAAAUCCUAGUAAGAAUCUUGUGAAAUUUAAAAUAAUUAUAAUCAUAAUUCCAAUUAGAAAUUUCGAAAUAGUUUAUUAUUUAAAUUAAUAAAUUAAUAAAUUAAUUAGAAAUCGAAAUAUUUAUAUUAUCUAAAUUAAUAAAUUGAUGAUUUAAUCUAAAAACUACUAAGAAUAUGACAAAUAAGCAAAAGCUAAAAUCAUGGAGAAUUUAAAUUAAUAAAUUAAUUAGAAAUCAAAAUAUUUAUAUUAUCUAAAUUAAUAAAUUGAUGAUUUAAUCUAAAAACUACUAAGAAUAUGACAAAUAAGCAAAAUUAGCUAAAAUGAUGGAGAAUGAGACAAAUCAGCAAAAUCACUUCAUAAAUAAUAGUAUAGAUAAUGGAAACCAAAAAGUAGAAAAUAAUUAAAGUGGAACAAAAAAACUUGAUGAAGGUGGAAAUUAAAAGAUAAAAGGAUAACAAAGGGUUGAAAAACAAAACACAUUGCUCUCAACUUUGAGAGAGAGAGAGAGAACAUAUUCUUCAUAGCAACUAGAGGAAGGAUCCAAAGGGAUCGCAUUGAUCCUAAGUCGAGUGAAUUCUCCUUAAUAUUUUCUUAAUUAUUGGCAAAAAAUUCCAAUAUUUUGCUUGGUUUUGGAUCAUGCUAUCCCUUUCGAUUCAUCCUUCGGUAGCUUCAUCUUCGAUCAAACGGUUAUAGUAGACUCUUCACUGGAGAUUUUGUUUGGCUUAACAAAUCUGCGACGCUUUGGUCUCAAGCCAACAACAACAAUCUUGGAAACUCUCUUCUUACAAGUAAGUUUCAAAGACUCUUCUUGAGUCUUGACCAAAGCGAAUCAUGCCAAAAAUUGAAGACCUACCUGUUUUUUGUCUUUUUUUAUUUGGAUCGAAUUUCCAAUUUACCAUAGCGGAAAAUCUUAAUUGAUUAGUUAUCAAAUAUUACUGUAUAUGUUGAUAUAUAUGAAAUAUAGCACUUGAAGUUACUUUUAACUGGUUUAAACUUUCUGAAAAUACCUACAUGGCCAUUUCUGAAAACUAUUUUUUCAGUUAAAUACCAUAUAUAUAUAAUUGGUGCAUAUUGGUGUAUAUAUAUUUGUGCAUCUUUCAUAUCAGUUAUUUCCUUAAAUAUAUGGUAACUUUAUAUUCAUUCGAGAUUACUUUCUACACAUGCUUACUAGUUUGAAAUCCCAAGUCCCAAAGUCUCGUUGGAUCCCGUUAAAUUAAAUCAAGUAGGACUUGGAGUAGAGGUGUACAUAUGUUCACAUGAAAAGGACUUGGACCAUUUUAACUUUACCCAACUUAAUAGAAUUCCAAACUGAAAAAGAAUAAAAAACUUAAACAACGAAUCCAAAGGAAAAAACGAAGAUAAACACUGAACCUAACUACAACGCAUAUAAAUGUAUAUUAAAAACAGAAAUCAGGACAAAUCUUCAUCGCAAAGUACAACGAGUUACAGACUAAUCUUACUUAGUUAACAACAAAAAGUAUAUAUUACAUUUUACUUUAUAGUUUUUCUUCAAUUAAACGCAAAUAUAUCCCAGUGUGAAUAGAAUGUCAUUCGGAAAAUUGAUUUGUGGCAGGUUUAGAAAUAGUUUGAAGAAAAAUUUAUGGUUAAUUAACAUCAUUGUGUUUUUGUCUGAAGAAAGUCAGGACUAUCUGAAAAUAACAGCCACGAUCAUAACCUGAGGACAUCAUCAUUAGUAAGAUGGUUGACUUUCAAACAUGAAUACGCAUAUCAUACACACAUUAUGCAUAUCUUUAUUAUUAUUUCCUUCUUACAAUCAUUUUUCUCCCCACUGUAAUGUGUGAAAGAAGAAAAGAGCGGAAAAAUAUCUAAAGAAAUCAAAUUGAACUAAGAAGAAAAGGAACAGAAUCAUGACAUUGAAUUUGAUGUUGUUUACGUGCAAAAGAUUUUUAUUUGUGGCAGGUUUAGAAAUACUUUGAAGAAAAAUUUAUGGUUAAUUAACAUCAUUGUGUUUUUGUCUGAAGAAAGUCCGGACUAUCUGAAAAUAACAGCCACGAUCAUAACCUGAGGACAUCAUCAUUAGUAAGAUGGUUGACUUUCAAACAUGAAUACGCAUAUCAUACACACAUUAUGCAUAUCUUUAUUAUUAUUUCCUUCUUACAAUCAUUUUUCUCCCCACUGUAAUGUGUGAAAGAAGAAAAGAGCGGAAAAAUAUCUAAAGAAAUCAAAUUGAACUAAGAAGAAAAGGAACAGAAUCAUGACAUUGAAUUUGAUGUUGUUUACGUGCAAAAGAUUUUGGUGGACCGGCAGAUAUGGAAGAAAGGACGAUGUAUUUCUUCAUCUGCGAGGUUUGAAAUUACAUUGUCUCCUUCUUUCCCUUCACUUAAUUUGCUAUUUACGUAUGCUUACAGUCAUCUCAAUGACACUCAAAGUUUUAUAACUUUUUUAUUUGUAUCUUUAUAUUUUUUGGGUAAUUUGUAAAUUCUAUUGUCUCAUUGUUGGAUCCCCGCGUAGUUGCUUGAGUUCAUCGUGUCUUCGUGGGUUCAGCUUUAAAAAGGCAGGUAGUGAUACGCUUAGUUAGGCCACCUUUCAAGCCCAUGAAUGUAAACAUAUGUAGUAACUGUGACUAGUGGCAACGGCUCCACAAGUGCCGCUCUCCUGCUGCCGCAAAAGCAUCACACGUGGUUUAUCUUAAUCCAGCUUGGACCAACUUGCAAAUCAAACCACUAGAUUCUGCUCUGGUCUUCAUGGUUCGGCGAAUCGGUGUGACGAGCCAGAUUGAACCAUUGGGGAGGAGAUAAAUCAUUAAUAUCUUAUCUCUCAUAUCAAUUAUUCUUCUUAUGAAUAUCUUAAAUAUUUUAUAUCAAUUAUUGUUCUUAUGAACCUCCAUGGGUCAAGUUUUUUUUUACCAAAAUUAUACUCCUACCAAGAUAAAGAUGGCCAAAAAAAGAAAAAAGAUAGCCAAAAAAUGUUAUAUUUUGCUUAUAGGAAUAAAAAAGAUACUGGGCUUUGCUAUAAAGUGUCCUUGAAAUUAAUUGCGUCCACAACACUAAGGCUUCUUUAUCGUCCAUUAUUAAGGCACUACAAAGCAUAAGGGAUAUAACGAUAUAUACUUAUUCCUGAUCAUUUGUUUGGUAACUACUAAUUCCUUCUUCUUUAUUCCUUCCAACUCUCAUUUAACAUACAUAUAUACGUUUGAGGAAGGUUGUUUUGUAUACCUGUAAACUUAAUAUCUAAAACGUGUACCUCAAGCAACCGCCCGAGGAUCAAACAAUGUCAAUUCGCUGAAUUUAAAAAUGAAGGAAUACAGGUUUUUGUAACCUUCAAAAUGGGCUUUUGUGUCAUGGUCAGUGAUUGGCAUCUUGGUCAUGGAGAACGCAUAAAAUUUGAGUUGGGACUUGGGAGAAUAGUUGGUACUUCCAAGUGGUUUAAGAUUUGUUGGAAGUUGUGCCCUUCUGCCAUUAACUUCAGCCAAUAGCUAGAUUGCAUGGCCCCAGUCAACUUGCUCUGGAGAACGUGUGUAUAUUUAUAUAAUUUCGAUGAAAACUCAAAUAUUGUUUUUUUUUUCUCUCUCUAAUAUAGAAGAACUACCAAUUUUUUACUUUUGUUUUAAAAUAACUUUGAAUUUAGAUAAAAAAAAAAUUGAAUAUAAAAUGUAUUGAAGUUCUAGACAUUACAGUGAACAUUUAAUAAUUUUGUUCUUACUAAAGAAGACCCAUAAUGUCAAGGAAAGUAUUUUCUGAAAGGAUAAUUUUUUGUAAAUAUAUUUAUUUAGUUUUUUAUUUAUAAAUCUGGCCAUUCUUAUGCAAAAACAAAAAUUCAGACGAGAGAGACUUGAGACCUCAAAGGCUCACAAGACCACCCACCAAAUGCGUUAGUAUAAUGUUAUGUCCAGCUUUUCUUCAUCGGUCUCUCCUUUCUUUGACUGAAUUAGAUUCUAUCUUGUUUUCAGUGAAGGAGAGAAAAAUUCGCUUAAAAAAAGACAGAUUCUAUAUAAAUCAGAAAAGCUGGCUUUCUCAAAACUCCUUCAUGUAGUUGAGGAAGGAGGAGGAGAAGAAGAAAGGCAAAGGCUCUUAGCUGCAGAUACACAAGAGCCCUUUGUCGUAACGACCAUGAACGCCACCGAAGCUAUGAAUCGCAAAGUUAAUGUCAGAGGAGACGAUGUUGAUAUCGAAAUCCCUGACACUGCUCAUCAAAUUAGCAGCGGUUUGUAAAUUCAUUUUCCCCUCCUUUGUUUUGUUAUUUUUUUGCAAGCAUCCAAUAUUUUUACUUUUAAUCUUUUACCACGAAAAAUGUUUUCACCACAAAGAGUAAAUUAACCUAAUAUAAAAACCCAAAUUCUAAAAAUCUGUUUAUACUGCACCUAGAAACAUUUUACAACCAUAUAUGUUUGUUUGGGAAAUUUUUGCUUUGUCAAACUCUGUUUUUAGUAAUCUGAGAUCACAUUUUGGGGUUUAGCUUAAACCUGUUCUUGUGGAAUGGUACAGAUUCAUGGUUUCAGGUGGCGUUCGUUCUGACAACCGGUAUAAACAGCGCGUAUGUGUUGGGAUAUUCAGGAACAGUAAUGGUUCCUUUAGGUUGGGUUGGUGGUGUGGUUGGUCUUCUUCUCGCUACUGUAAUCUCUCUCUAUGCAAAUACUCUCGUAGCCAAGCUUCAUGAGUUUGGUGGCAAGAGACACAUUCGUUAUAGAGACCUUGCUGGAUUCAUUUACGGUACAAAAAAAAAAAACACCAAACCACCUCUCUUAUAUUUUCUCUGUUGUCACAUUCAUUGAAAUGUUUUGAUCAGGUAGAAAGGCUUAUCACCUUACAUGGGGAUUGCAGUAUGUUAAUCUUUUCAUGAUUAACUGUGGAUUUAUCAUACUAGCUGGCUCUGCCCUGAAGGUAGUUAAAACAUCUUGAUUCUUGAUUAUUAAUUCUUGAAUUUUGAUUCCUUGUGAGCCAAGUUAGUUAUUUUGGAGUGUGUUUUGUUUCUACAGGCUGUUUAUGUGCUUUUCAGGGAUGAUCAUACUAUCAAGUUACCUCACUGUAUAGCCAUUGCUGGUCUGAUAUGUGCGGUUUUCGCCAUUGGAAUCCCUCAUUUAUCUGCUCUUGGGGUCUGGCUUGCAGUUUCAACCAUCCUGAGUCUCAUCUACAUAGUAGUAGCAAUUGUCCUAUCAGUUAGAGACGGUAUAACUUAAAAUAAUGAUCAAGAAUUUAGCUAUACUGAUAGAUUAUAUAGCUACUGAUAAAUCUGACUCUUGGCUAUUAUAUUUUUGUUAUUUUGUAGGAGUGAAAGCACCUGCAAGAGAUUACGGAAUACAAGGAUCAUCACUAAGCAAACUUUUUACCAUCACAGGAGCAGCUGCAAACCUGGUCUUCGCAUUCAACACAGGGAUGCUUCCAGAGAUUCAAGCGACAGUGAGACAACCGGUUGUGAAAAACAUGAUGAAGGCUCUAUACUUUCAGUUCACAGCUGGUGUUUUACCAAUGUACGCGGUUACAUUCAUCGGAUACUGGGCUUACGGAUCCUCAACCUCCACCUAUUUGUUAAACAGUGUUAACGGCCCACUAUGGGUCAAAGCCCUUGCUAACGUUUCAGCUAUACUUCAGUCUGUUAUCUCUUUGCAUGUAAGUUUCUUGGCCCCAAGUCUUUAACUGUCUCAAACUUUUUGUAACGUUCCGACCACCCACGGAUAAUAAGACUCCCAUGCCCGCUCACUCGACCCGUUGGUCCUAUUACACCUUUGCUCAGUUCUUCUUCUUUAUUUGUAGAUAUUUGCGAGUCCAACAUAUGAGUACAUGGACACAAGGUUCGGGAUCAAAGGACAUCCACUGGCUUUAAGGAACUUGCUGUUCAGGAUCAUGGCGAGAGGCGGGUACAUCGCGGUGAGCACGCUUAUCUCGGCGCUCUUGCCGUUCCUUGGGGACUUCAUGAGCCUCACUGGUGCAGUGAGCACAUUCCCUCUUACAUUCAUUCUAGCUAACCACAUGUACUAUAAGGCUAAGAAAACUAAGCUUAGUCCUAUGCAAAAGGUAUGGCAUUGGCUUAAUGUUGUCUUCUUCAGUUUGAUGUCUGUUGCUGCCGCCAUUGCAGCUCUCAGGCUCAUCGCCCUUGACUCUAAAAACUUCCACGUUUUUGCAGAUAUGUAAUUCAUUUUAGUAUAAUUGUAAUGGUUCAUUAUUCUCCCACCAAAGCUUGUAUUCUCUUUUUGUAUUUUAUAACACAUCUGAACAUAAAUGAAACAAAAGAUUAUACAAAAGUACUAAAGUUUACCAUCAAGGUUGUGUCUGAACCAAUAGCAGAGACUCUCAGACGCACACCGCAGCAUUUGAGCAGCAAAGUAUCAACCAAAGGGUUACUCUUUUCCCUCUUACCAAACCCUUCAUCUCCUCACGAACAAGACAGCCUCGCUUCAAUCAAGAAUCUCGCCCUUGCCUGUGCUCUUCUCUCUUCUUCCCUCUCUUCCACUCACGAACUCUUCUCAUGGAUCCCCGAAAGCCUCUCACUCAUAGGGUUCUCCGAGAUAUCUAGGGAUUAUUACAAUGGUGGGAAGAUGAGAUUGGUGAUCGAGUUGUUGCCGGUUGUGUUGCCUGAGUUGAAGGAUACGAUCGAAGGGAGCUCGAUGGGUAAGAAGAGUGAUGAUGCAGAGGAUGUUUCAGCUGCAUUGACGAGACAACCUGUUGGUUAUGCUGUCUUAGCUGCUCACCAGCUCAAGUGGUUUGUGACUCAGGUCUGUACUGAUUACUGAAUCAUCAAUAACUUGAAACUAUUCUGUUAUGUUGUUGCUCAAUGCAUUCUCUUGGGCCUCUUGGUGGGUAGGUUGAGAAACCGGAACUGGGGAAGCUUUGCAACUUGGUGGUUCCUUGUUCUUUGACAGCACUUGACCAUUGGUCCCCACAAGUCAAAGUAAGUACUUUGGGUUGUAAUGGCUUUUGUCUCUUAUUAGUUGUAACAUGAGAUUUAAUGUUGUUUGUUUGCUUGAUGACAGGGGGAGGGUAUGCUAAGCUUUAUUCAUCUACUUAAAAAUGUGAGUUCAAAUGAUCUUGGUUUGUAUGGAGACGUGGUUCUUGAUGCUUGCUGUCAGAAUAUAGCUUCAGAUGAUGAGAUAUGGAUACAUGUGGUAGAGUUAUCUGUGCUUCUUGUGACUAAACUCCAUCCAAAUAAUCCUCGUACCUCAUGGUGCAACUCUUUUUUUUUUCUUUUUCUUGUGUGACUGUCUGCUCCGGCCAAAUGGUUCUGUUUGCUCCAUGUUUUUGAAUGUAUCUUUUUCUUAGGUACGAGAGGUUCAUGAUUCAUGAAUGAGAUGCUGGGCCAUUUGGAACGCCAACCAAGAAACAAAGAGCGGUGUAACGCUUGGCUUAGAUUCGUUGAGCAACUCUUGAAUGCUGUAGGGCUUUUCUUGCUUGCUCAUUUUCGACGUAUUUUUCCUCUUUUCUUUCAGUGGAUGCAUUCAGAUGACGCUGAAACUGUUUUGUUGGUAUGUCUUCAUUCACUUUGCAAAUGUUAUGUAAUAAUGAUUUACAAAAUGGUGAGAUUUGCUAUAAUGCUAUGUUAAGGAUUUUAACAGAGAAUGGAUGUUGGUGUUGAGAAAAAAAGGCUGUACAAGGAAGAGAGAGAGAGAGAGAGAAACUUAUUUUUUUCUAAACAAACCUUAAUUAGAAACAAGAGAAAGAGAGGGUUGGCGAAAGAGGAGGAAAGAAGCUAGCUAGACCACCCGGCGGCAGCGAUUUGAAAUCUCCGGUUUCAUUCGCUGGCCGUGGAAACGCGCAAGGAGAAAAUAGUGUUUAUGUUUUGGCUGUUUCGUCCUUGAGGUGUGAAUCUUGAAGAAGAAGAAGAAGAUUGUAAUGGGGAAGAAAAGAGGUCAUGUCCAUAAUGCUCUCUUCCAACGACGACACCAUGAUUUCUUCUCAGGAUCCUAAACCCAAGAGGAUCUACCAACUCUGGCCCGGCAACAAUGUAUGCCUUGUCUUUCACACCAUGUCCUCUUUGCUUUGCCUGCUCUCACUUUCUCCAUCCGAAUGGCUUUCAUGAUCGGAAUGAGCUAUCCUUUGUUCCACUCUCUUAUACUCAUGGGUUCCCUUUUGCUCACCGUCUUGGUAAUAAAACAUAAACUUGUCUUUUUCCUUGUAUGCCACACGUUUACCCCUUUCUUCACUACUUCCUAAUCUUCUUUACAGGAUUUCACAUUUCUCUUCUUAACUUCAUCAAGAGACCCCGGGAUCAUUCCAAGAAACAAAGAAGCACCUGAAGCAGAAGGGCUUGACAUGCUCAGUAAAACAAAGCUACCUGUAACCAAGGAUGUAUUAGUGAACGGCUACACAGUCAAUGUCAAAUUCUGUGAGACUUGUUUGCUUUACCGUCCUCCACGCGCCUCUCACUGCUCAACAUGCAACAACUGUGUCCAAAGAUUUGAUCACCACUGUCAAUGGGUGGGACAAUCUAGUAAGUCUUCCAUGUGAAACAAAAGGUGUGUGUGUGUGAGAGUAUGAAUCUGUUGAUCUAACAUGUUGUUAUAUAAACGGCAGAGAAACUAUCCUUACUUCAUAGGUUUCAUAUCAACUUCAACUCUCCUCUGCUUGUACGUCUCAUGGGUUAGUAUGCUUGAGGUACACGGCAAGAUGUUGUUAAUGGUCAUCAUGGACGACAUAAAACUGAUACUAUGUAUCUGCAUUGCAUCAAAAUAUUAAGUCAACCACUUGAUAUAGUAUAGCUUAAUUUUUAUAUUAGAAUUACCAAUUUCAACUAUUUAAUGCAUUAACUAAACAUUGAUAACAAAAUAAUUUCCCUAUUAAUAGUAUAGAAAUACUGUUCAAAAUAAUUUGCCUAUUUUCUAGAUUUAACUAAAAUGAUUUUCGUUGUUCAGAAAAAAAAAACUUUAAUGAUAAUAUAUACGGAAAAUAUGUAGUCUCUAUUUUGGUUUCCAUCAUCACUAGUAAGCUAGCGAGUGCGAUUAGCCACGCGCCGAAGACGGAGUGCACCUUCCUCUUUGUCUUUUAAAGCCACGCGCCGAAGACGGAGUGCACCUUCCUCUUUGUCUUUAAAGCCACGCGUCCUCCACCUCCACCUCCACCUCCACCUCCACCCGACUUUGACUCCAUCUCGUUGCUGCUGCUACAACGAAGAGGAAGAAAAGAGGAUACGAUUGACGAAGCUCGAGGAACAUGAGAUCAGGAGAACACAAUUGAAGAAGAGAGCGAGGCUGAUCAGAAACCGACAAAGCGCGCAGCUUUCGAGGCAGAGGAAGAAGCAUUAGGCUUAUCCAUGGAUGCAUUGUCCUCCUUAUAUGGUCAAGCAACAAGGAGGAGGACAAGUGCCUUUUGAUUCCCAUUCUAAUAUUACUUUCUGUUCCCUUAACUUUGUUUAUGACAAACUAUAGAGCAUCGAACUUACCUUCAGUUACGUCUCUUGUUAAGAGUAGAUGCAUAACCUAAUCCGGAUAGAUGCCAAACAGUAAGCACUAAUGAUUAACAUAUGAAUACUUACUCAUAGAAAUUGAAAUGAGCAGAUCAAACGACUUUCCUGAGGCAUUGUAGCUUUUGAGAUUAUUAAUAACCUGUUUUCGUUUUUUUUUUUUUUUAACUCCAUUGUAGGGCCAAUGUUUAGCUCCGGGAUGUGCACACAAAGUGUUUCAGUUCGAUGUCUCCUCAACCUCUGUAGCCAUUAUUCCUGCACUGAACACAGUAAGAAUGCCACAGACACACACAGGCGAGAAAGAACAGAAGAACUCUUCGUGGUCUAGCCAUUCCACUCCCAGGAUCAGAUUUUAACUUCACUAAAUUAGAGCACCAAAGAAACAGCUCUAGCAAAGAAAUCAAGCCCGCUUCAUCAAUGGUUGUGUCUGUGCUUGUUGAUCCCAGAGAAGGUGGUGAUGGAGAUAUCGAUGGGAUGAUUGGGGGACCAAAAUCACUGUCCCCAGUUUUCGUUGUCGUGCUUCAGGACAGUGCAAAAUAUGUAACAUACUACCUCGACCAGGAGCUCCUCAUCUUGUGACUACUUAAAAGACUAUUCAGGAUUGUAACAUGCUUCAGCUUUGUAUAUAAGAAUAAACAGUUGCUUGCUCUUUGGAAUCAAGUAACAUCCUUAGCUGUUUAGAUUUUUGUUUCCAGAUGUAGAGUCCGAAUGCUGUAACUUUUUCAAUAUUUCUUAGUAAACUUAUAAAGAACCUUACAAAGUUAUACUGUACGCAUCAAACUUCUCGAAUACAUUGCAAUAUUACAAGAAACAUGUCCUUAAAACAGAAGAAACUGAAAGUGAUCAGUUAGCUGAUUCCAUGGUUUGAGCCAAGGGGGCGUUAGUAAUAGCCAUCUUCAUGUCAGGAGGAGUUGAGCCGCUGCUACGUUCUCGGAUCUCUCUAUAUUCUUGGCAAAUAGCACACAAGUGACAGAAGAAGUGUGUUACAAAGUCCCCACAUGGAGCCUCCUGCAUCAAAAAUCUUACAUUAACUUGCAGUUAUAUUAGUAAUGGGGAAAGUUAAUUUAAGCAGAAAUUUAAAACCGUGGAGUUUAAUAAAAAAAAACAACAAUUGAUUCAAUAUUAUUUAUAUAAACAAAAUACGUAAAUAUGUUAAAUUUCCCCUUUCAACAUACAUCUCAUUUAGCAAACUUUAUAAUUAAUUGAAAACAUUAUAGUGCUAUAGGAACUAGGUGUUUGCCGUAAUUUUACGGGUAAUUAUAUUAUAUGAAGAAAUAUAUAUUAUGUUUAUAUUGUUAUAAUUUUUGAAUAAUAAUUAAAAUUAUUAUUGUCUAAACCGCAGUUUCAAUAUUUUAGUUUAUAUGAGGCGCAUGUACGGCCCAACAUAAGCAAAUCCUAAUUACAUAAAAUGUUAUUUUGGUCAUUUCACACAAUCACCACCAUUCUCGCUCCCAGACGCCACUUUUAGACUACGAAGAAGAAACCCUAGAGUCUCUCUCCCAAAACUCUAACCAUGGCCGAGAUACUCGUACCGAAGGGCAUUUUGCGGGGCCACACGGACAUGGUCACCGCCAUCGGCGUAUCGAGCGAUAAAUCCAUCAUCCUCUGGGAUAUCAACAAGGGCGGCAAGUCUUACGGUGUUGCUCAGCGUAGGCUCACAGGCCAUGCUCACUUCGUUGAGGAUGUGAUUCUCUCAUGGAACGGUGGCCAUGCUCUCUCCGGAAGCUGUGACGGUGAGCUCCGUAUUUGGAAAUUAGACACUGGUGCCUCCGUUAGAUUCGUUGGACACACGGAUGAAGUACUCUAUGUCGAUAUGUCUGAUGACCAACGUACUAUCUUAUCCGCGUCUCGUGUCUGUAAGUGCACGAUCUCUGAGCAAGACGAUGGUCACAAGGACUAUAUUAGCUGUGUUAGGUUUAUCCCUAACAGGGAUGAUGGGUUAAGCAUUGUUUCCGCUUCUUGGGAUGGCACCGUGAAAGUGUGGGAUGUCGACAACUGCUUUAACUGUAAGCUGAAUUACUCUCUCGUUGGACACUCAGCUUGCCGCACCACUCUGGCUGUCAGUCCUAAUGGUCAACUAUGUGCCCGUGGUGGCGUAGACGGUGCUAUCUUGUUGUGGACUUUAGCUGACGGAAAUAAAGUUUGCUCGCUUGAGGAUAAUUUAAUUAUCCACUCGCUUUGUUUCUGCCCGAACAGAAACUGGCUGUGUGCUGCGACGGAGAACGGUAGCGAGAGUGGUCAUAAUACUCUUGUUGACCUCUUCCAAGAGCAGCCUGUUAAAAAUGAAAAGACAUUCAGGGACAUUACGCAGGAAGUCAUGGAAAAACAUGAGCGGGAAGUUUUAUUCAGUGGUUCACAGUAUAGUGAUUAAGGAGCUUCAUCUAAGUUCUUCACGCACAAGACGUGAUGUAGAACUUGCUAUUCAAGAAAAAUUAAGGAAUGUAAAUAUGCCUCCUUUCAUCAACAAAGCCAUCCAGGUUAGAAUUAUAUUAUAACGGUAGAGCUGACUUGUCUUUCGGUUAUUUUAUUGCUGAAAAUACUGCUUUUUUUUUUUCAUUUAUACAGGAUAGACUUAAAGAAACUGUUAGGUCAACUGUUGCGGCAUGCACAUAAAUUGCUCGAUCAACGAUUGAGGAAUCCAUGGCUAUCCAAAUUCACGAGGAAUUUGAGACCUCAUUCAACAGUGACCUCCGGGUAAAAAUAUUUUUGUAGAGUACUGCAGUCUCAACCGCCGCUUGGUGAAAACGGUGUUGACCUCUUAUGUACCUGCCAUUUAUAAAUUUCAGGAAGCACUUAGGUGGGGUGUGGAGACCUCACUCCUACCUACCUUUGAGAGGUUAUGCCAGACCAUGUUUAAUCAAGUAGACGUAGCCAUGCGCGAUGGGAUUAACGAGUACUGUGGACACACCCAACUUACUCAAACUUUAAAGGUAAGAUGGAAAGUCAUCAUUCUUCCCAAGACUGGUAUAGUUUCAAAAUCUAGUCAUUUAUUUCGUCUUUCUAAAGUUGCUGCCCAAUAUGCAGGAUAUCGUUGGUUCUAUGUUGUCCAUAAGCGCUGAAUUUGACCAGAAACAGAAUAAGGUCUUAGCUCUCUUGGAAAAAUCUGCUGGAGCAAAUCCCUUGGUUACUCAAGGAAGUAACAGACCUUUGGGUCCUCUUCUUAGAAUGGUUUGUUUUCACAAUCUCUGGAACUAAUUCAUAACCAUGUGUUAGCUUGAUAUCACCAUUCUUUGGUUCUUUGCUUCGGUUUCUUCUCUGUUAUAUAACUUUUUGUGAUUGAGUCAGAGAGUGAAUAUAGAGAGAAUCAUUUCUGGUUCUGAUCAGUCUUUGUCUGAGUUUUGACAUUCACAACAUCUAUCCCUUUCAGGCCGGAUUACCUGUAACAGCAGAAUUAUCCAGCUUGAUAUCUGAAAGCAAGUACGAAGAGGCUUUCACUAGGGCUUUACUGGAAAGCAAGUCCGAUGUCAACAUAUUAUCAUGGCUUUGCUCAAAGGUGAGACUUUUCUUUUUACAUGAAUAAGAGACCUCAUAAGCAUCAGUUUGACACAAGAUUCCAUGAGAUUUGGUUUCAGGUGGAUCUGCAUGCACUGUUGGCCAAGAAUCCUCUUCCUCUGAGCCAAGGACUUCUUUCUUCUUUGUUGCAACACCUAAACAACGACAUCAGCGACAUGUCCCUUAAGCUUGCUUGGUUGAAGGAUAUGUGGCUGCAGCCAUUAAACCAUCAGUCCAGGUGGAAACAAUAGCAGAAAUGUAUUACCAGCCCAAAACCUCUUAGCCAUUUUUUUAAGAAAAAUAGACCUAGUCAAAGAUGAAAUUAAUUGGCAAGUAAAGAGAGAUCAUGUCAUAGCCACCAGUAUAUUCUAUGCCUUACCUUUUUUGGUACACAUCAAUUCUAGAGAAAAAACUUCUCAUUCGAGGAUCUACGACUUUCAGAAAAUGCUACUUUUGUCUGUCAACUUAUCAACCAUAUACACAAUUGAAAAUGAAAAACUAGAGUCGCUGCACAUCAGAAACACCAUGACUUAUAUUUCACUGUAGUCCAAUGUAGAAAAAAAAAAAGAUAUUGCACUCUACACAUAAGGAAAACCACUUAAUUAGCUAAAUGCACAUUUGGUGAUAACUUAGGAAUUGUCGACGUUUGUAGGACCAUUAUACCCCUACUGUGUUCUACAUGUAUUCUAUUUUCCCGAUGCCCACAGCUUUUUAAUACAUCCUAUUUCUGAUAAACCAAAUAUACACUAAUCUAUUUCUGUCCGACAACUUGAUAUAUUCUAAUGUUUUGGAUAAACCAAAUAGCCACUUUCUCUUAUAUAUAUUCAAUUGUUCCUUUGUUCAUUGAAUCGUAUCCGACAUAACUCUUCUCUUAAAAGUCAGUUUCGUUCUCUUCAAUUUCCUUAUGGACCCAAUCGGUAGUGAAACGCCGCCUCCAGAUUUCCCCGAAGAAUGUUCGCGACGGGGGAAGAACCAGUGGACAUUAGGGUUACUCCGUACCACAAACCUUCUUGUAUCUCCAAAAUUCUCAACGCCUUAUAAAAAGAAGAAAUCUCUGUCAUCAGAGCUUCUUCAUUUAGAAAACUACUAGCAGUUGCAGAGAAACCCUCGUUCUCCGGCUGGUUUGGGUGUUUCCUUAUUUCCAGUCGAUUGAAAGUUGUUAAGGAUAAAAAACAAACCGAUUUUCGGAUUGCUUAAGGAUUGUGAAGUGGAGGAGAAAGGGAGGGUCGAAGCCAGUUUCGAUUUGGAUAGGCUGCCGAUGGAUCUCCUUAAUUAGAAAGCUCAUCAUCAUCUCUGAUCCAAAAAAAAAUGACAACUCAAGGGAAAAGAUAGUAGCCGGAGGAUAACGUUAAAAUAAUAAGUUAUGAGGACAUGAAAUGUUGUGAUUUUACUUUGUCUCCUUGACCAUAUACUUUGCUAAGAGAAACAUUUGAGCUUUUUAACAGAUUUUCUUUACUCUGUUUUCUGAUACAAAAGCUUCACCCAAACAUACAUUAUGACUUCUCCCUUUUAACUUACUAGCAACAAAAGCAGGGAUGGGUUCUCUCACCAACUCCCACUAACACUAUACUAACCUUGCUUAGUAGUCUACUUUUACAAACAACUCAUACAACAUCACAACACUGUUACACCAACUCCUUAAGCACACAACUCUUGAUAACUAGAACUCCUUAGUUCGGUUUGAGAACAAAAUGACUUUACUCAACAUGAAAAGAUGUGAUCCGUUUGCUCCGCCAAUUCCGAUUCCCUCUGUAUUUACGAGGAGACACUUUGUUUUAUGUCCCAUGUUGUUUGGUGAUGCUUAAUUAAACUUGUACUCUGUUAUUCACUAGGCCUAAUGUACACACAUUUAAACAAGCUACUUUAUAUUACAUUUGUAUACUAUACAUUUUAGCUUCUGCACAGAUUUACAAAACGCUACUUUAUAAUAUAUUUGUAUAUCAUAUAUUUUAGCCGUCCACAGUCGCAACAUACGUUUCCCUUUGUUGUAUGAGUUUUAAUAAACGAUCAUGUUACAGUUCACUAUAACACAUACAUUAAUAAUUAUAACCGUAUACCCACAUUUAAACAAUGAUACUAUAUAGUUUAUAUGUAUAAUAUACGUUCUAGCUGUCUACAAUCUCACAUACGUUUACAUUGUUCUAUGGGUUGUAAUAAAUUGUCAAAUUUGUUGUUUCAACAAAUACCUUCUUGAACACUUAGGACCAUCUACUUAAAUUUAUAACACUCUAACUUUCUUAUUGGUUGCUAAUAUUAUCUUUAGCUGAGUUGUGAAUGUUUUAUCCGGUUAAAAACAUUUUUAAGCUUUUGUGUUUUGUUUUGUUGAAGCUAAUAUUAUCUUUAAAGAAAAACACUUACAGUUUUAGCCGCUACACCAUCAUGUAGCAUAACAAUCGCAAUUUGUAUAUGUUUGUCUAAUACAAUUUACAAGCGACAUUUCUAAUUCUGAAUGUUAAACUUCAUUUGACUAACAUGAAUUCAUCUCGUCUUAUAUUAUGUGAUUUACCUAACUUCAUUAAACUUCAUUUGACUAAUAUGCAACUAUUUUAUUUUAUAUAAAGCUAUGUACUAGAAUAUCUAUCUUUUGAAUUAUAAUAGCAUGUAAAUAAUAUUUUAGCAAUGUAAAUAUAAUCUAACCGUCCACGUACCACGUUUUUCUGACAAACAUUCAUUAGUCAGUUGACAAACCCUCAUCAAAUCCACCACCCGAACACGGCGAUAGAUAUCUGAUUCACGCGUUUGGAAUUAACUAGUUUCAAUAACUCGAGAGAUCGAACACAUGAACAUUUUGCUCUAAAUAUCUAAAUAAAAAAGGAAAAGAUUUAUUCGUAUGUGAAAGAAAUCAAGCCAUCUGAUAUGAAAACAGAGAUACAUGCAUAUUUUCAUAGUUUUCUUCUUCUUAAAUCUACUGAAGAAGAAGCGAACAAAAAAAAAUUAGAUUGAAUUUCUUUUAAAAAAAAUACGAACUUGCUUAAACAAGUCAUAGAAAACCAUCAGAGAAAACCAUCAAUCUAUGAACAAGAUCAUAGCAAAAUAUAGUAAAAAACAAAAGAAAGAACAAAUGGCAGCAAGCUUUUACAGUAGCUGACAAAAAAAAAAAAAAGCUUUUACGGUAAAAAAAAUAAAAAUAUGUUCUAGUGAACGGAAAAAUAAAUAUCUAGAGAGAAUACGUUUAUCAUUUAGUAAAUAUAUUUCAUAUCUUAAAGAUUAUCAAAAUAUAUUGCCAACUGUCGGAUACCAAAUAAAGCCUACUCCUCUCUCCACACCAAAACAUAGUGCUAGGGAUCUUCAUGUAAUUUCAUGUCUCCUUGUGCUACAGUAAUAAUCAAACUAUUACUGUUAUAGGUACUUAGCUAAUUUGCAACUUCUUUUUGGAUUUUCACCUAAUUGUCUCAAAAAAAAAGUAAUGCCCAGGCCCCCCCUUACAAACAAGAAUCUAUGUAAUCUCUCAAAACCACUGACAAUACAACAGUAAGAAGAAGUAAAAGAAUCCAUUACACAGUUCAUGGAAGACUAAAGAUAUGACCAAAUCUUUUAUGUACAAACCUGCUUUGUAUCAUCUCAAUCAUAGCUCCCUCAGGACUCUAACAGUUGGUGGACAAUCUGUUCUCUGACCAGCCAGCGAGUAAUACGCUAGUAUAUGAGCAGGAUGCUCCACCUCACUUACCUCUCCCAUUUCAUCCACUUCCGGGACUCUUCUUGCUUGAAUCAGCUCUAUGUUCCAGUACGGUCUAGACAUUACCCUCAGAUCUUGCCCUGUCUCUGAAGCUCUGUACCCUUGCACCCACAGGUAUCUCAGCGAAGGCAGCUCCAUCACCGCUGCAGCGAUCGCUCUCUCGCUGAAGCAACACCCUCUCAUCUCCAGCUUCUGCAUCUUCGGACAACACCCUUCUCUCGAGAACUCCACCAAUCCUUUGUCUGUCUCACCAACUUUACCGAGAAGCAUCCAUCUCACGUUUGGACUAUACUGUCCUACGUAGCCUAACCCCACGUCCGUCAAGCCGCCUGGCCUGAGAUAGAACGCGAACCGUCUGAGUUUCUCGCAUCCCAUCAAGAGUGAUCUGACACCACUAUCCAGCGGCAAAUCUGCUACUAUUCUCUCUUCCUGGUCGAGCAAGACAAGGCGGAAGUCGCGGAGGUUUUUCAGAUACGCGCCUAUGGUUCGGAGACACUCGUUGGUUAUGUCUGUCACGUACACCGCCAUGUACUCUAGCUCCUUGCAGCCGUGAGCCAAAGCCGUUAGUCCUCUCUGUGUGACUAAAUAUCCCAAGUCCUCAUUCCCAUCUUCAUCUGCACCUCGUCUUUCGUCAUCCAUCUCUUCUUCAUCGGCACCCCGUUCGAUCCUCAGCCGCUUUAACUUCUUACAGUACUUUGCAAGAACCUCUAGACCGUUGUCUCCUAUUACAUUCCUCGUCUGAGAUAUACACCAAGAACUUGUCAGCCUUUACAUACAUAAUAGUUCACAAAGAAGAAAAAGUUACCUCAAGAACUUCCAGAUUAGAACACUUUUGGAUUAGUUUACAAUGAUCAUUAGUUUCGAGAAACGCAUAGAGCAGAUCCAGCUUCCGGAGUUGAGCAGCGAAUGGAAACAGUAUCGGCAUUUCGUUAGCUCCCAAGUAAGGGAGGCCCAGACGAGUUAGCUUUGGAGGGAAAGUCAGUUUCAAGUACUUCUCAGGCGUUUCUGGAUCCUCAUCCAAGGCGCCACCGCGAAACUCCUCGAGGUUAACAGCAGCGUUAAAGAACCCGACUAGCUCCAGCAUCUCAAUGUCACCGACCUUGACAGAAACCAGAGAGCGGUGGCAGUUCCUAGCUAUGGUUUCCAAGUCUUUGGGGCUGAUUUUUGUAAACUCAGUCAUGUAGAAGUUUAACACCUCGAGAGACGUGUUGUGCAGGGCAAGCUCGUGUAGCCAUUUACCAUCCUUUUCAAGGAAAGAACUGUCGUCCAUCACCAACGUUUUGAUUUUCCUGUCACAGACAACAUACAGAACCAUGAAGAAAGUGAGAAAACAACUCAAGAUAAAUUAGAAUUUUCAACUUAAACUGCAUAUAUACAACAGCAACAACCAAGCCAAUACUAUUUUGUAAACGACUUGAUCAUAAAUAUGAACUCCCAUGGAAUGGAAAUAGUAAUGAUUCCUUACUACACAUUAUAAUCAAGUCUUAAUGCAAGAACGAGAUUAAUGAACAUGAACUCCCUGAGAUAACAUUUCUGCAGAGGGCAGAUAUAUUGGAUUUUCAAUUUAAACUGCAUAUACACAACAUCAACCAAGUCAAUACUAUUUUGUAAACUGCAUAUACCAAGUAUUGAUUUCCUUACCAGACUUUAUAAUCACGUCUUUUUAAACAUGGGACCUAAUGCAAGAACAAGUUCGUUAAAAUGAACACAUAGAGGCAAUCUUUCUGCAGAUAACAGACAUAAUCAAUCGAUCGUUUUUGCUAAUCAGACAUAAACAAAAGUGCAAAGUAAAGCAGGAAACCAAAUAAAGUAAGGUUAAGAGGUAAAAGUCGGUUGAAUAAUUCUGCAAUCUAUUUAUAAUCAUCACAAGUGUAAAGUAAGGAGGUCCUUUAUACAAGUAGGCAUCAAAGUUUCUACUUAACCAAUUGAACUAAAGAAACAAUCUUUAAGAUACGAUUCUUUGUAAAAGUAAACACCCAAAAUGCAGCAAUCUUGUUAUUAUCAAGCGGCGUCGUUAUGAAGAUAAAGAGAGAUGCAAAAUUAUGUGAUAAACCUCAAGAGACAAUCUUUCUAUGCAGAUGCCAUAUAUAAUCAAGUCAACACUAUUACGUAAACGACUAGAUUAUAAACAUGAACUCCCAAUGGAAUGAAAAUAGUAUUUGAUUCCUUAUUAUAUACACUUUAUAAUCAAGUCUUUAUAAACACGGCACCUAAAUGCAGAGAAGGAGAUUAAUAGACCCUAAACUCCCACUCCGCAGAGACAAUCUCUCUGAAGAUGACAAAUAAUCAAUCAAAUCAAUCUCAUACAUAAACAAAAGUGCAAAGUGAAGUAACAAAUCAAGUAACGUAAGGUAACUAACCAAUUGAGCUAGAGAAUCACUCUUUUUAACUAUACAAUUCUUUUGUAAAGACCUAAAACGCAGCAAAUCUUGUUCUUAUCAAAAACGGCGUCGUUACGAAGAGUAAUCUUGUGUUAGUUACCUGCAGUGUCUAACGACGCUCAAGAGCCCAUCGCUAGAGAACCCCAAGCACUUAUCAAGCUUCAGAGCCUCGAGCUCAUCCCCCCUCGCUCUCGCCAAAACAUCAAGAUCCAAGUCGUUAACGAUCAUCCUCCUGAAAUGCACGGACCUGAUCCUCCGCAGCGACAAGGCGAUCUCGUUCACCCAGGGGGUAACAAACCCUCCCCAAUUCUCCGGGAUGAGGUUGAACAUCGCGGCGCGGGGCUUCCCUUUGAGCUUGAGCGACCUCAGGUUCGGGAACCGAGCGCUGAGACGAUCGGGUGCGGAGGCGUAGCAUAGGGCCAUGGUGACGUGGUAUCUCGUCUCGGAGUCCGCUCUGAGCCACGUUCGGUUGACGAGGGAGGCGGAUUCGCGGUCUUUGGGGUCGGUUAAGUAAGGCAUGACUAGCGAGAUGACGUCAUCGGCGUUCCGCGGGGUUGAUCGAAGCUUCUUGGUAUCGGGAUCCUCCAUCGUCAAGAUUCGAUUCGUUUCGUCGAGCAACGGAUUGAAAGGAGGAGGAGGAGGAAGAAGAAGAAGGCAGAGAUUCGAGUAAGCAAGGACACGCGUCGGAAGAAGAGAUUGGGAGAGGAAUCAAUAUAAGAGAAUCUCUCUACUCUGUUGUUUGUUGAUAAUAUUUUAUUUUAUUUUAUUUUGGGAUCUAGUGGGCACACAAAAUAAUAUUUGAUUUUUGACCUUUAUAUUAUACAGUGUGUUACUGAAGUUAGACGACGAUAUUUGUAUCAGAGUGAUUUAUUUUCCAUUAUUAAUAGUUAACGUCUUAUAACUUUUGCGUACAUGUGGGUGAUUUAUUUUCCAUUAUCUAUCUAUUAUCUAUUCUAUUAAAAGAGAACCAUUCUAAAAAAAUCUACUUAUACAAGGUUACUGCACCCUUUCAUUUAAGUAACAAUUAUUUGGUUUUACCAUCUAUUAGCCCAAUAACAAAAUAUAACCUUAUGUUUAGCUAACUAUAUUUAUUACGCCUUAUCUAAACCAGUAGUAUAACAACUUUAUAUUUGAUAGACCAAAACAUGUUUUACACGAUAAUAUAAAACACGAUACAUGUUAUACACAAGACACUAUACACUAUAUAGUUUAUUCAUUGAGUCCUGCUCAUGUUGAUGACAGUUAUCUGUACAAUAAUCAUAUCACAUGUAUUCCUCUCUUAGACCCAAACGCCAAAUGGCAAUGCCUUCAUUCAAUUGAAAGACCAGAUCAUACCCUAACCUCGAUGAAACAACACAUUCAUUCUCAAUCUGCCAAAAUGAUUCAGAGCAUAACAUUACAUAUACUGUAUCAUUUUGAAUAAAACUUAUCUGGUAAAAUACUGUAUCAUUUUGAAUCAAUCUAAUAUGGCAAAGUAUUAGUGCUUAUACCAAGUCUCUUCUUUGAGAGGGUUCUUAGUUCGUUCUUAAUCUGAGAAGUUCGUUCUUUAUUAAUUCAUUCUUAUCUAUCAAAGUUAAAGUCUGUUUUUAAGAAAUCGGAUCAAGUUUAUAAUAACCACGUUAUCCUAACUAUAUAUAGUUAUAAUAUUUUCAAAUUUAGUAUUAACGACCAUAAGUUAUUAAUUUGCUAGCAUAAAUUUUUCUAACCUACUUUAACUGAAUAGAUUUUCGAAACAAUCUGUUCGAUACAAUUUUAAAUACAUAAAAACCGAAAUCUUAGAAUACUUGAUCUACAAGUUUCGUAUUAACUACAAUACAUGAUAAUUUUCCGUGCAAAAAAAUUAUGUUACCUACUUUAACUGGAUAAACAUUAUCGUGUAGAAUUUAUAUUCCAAUAAUAUUCCUUAUUCCUCCAACUAAAAAAUCAUAUCAGAUCUUAAUAUUCAACCUUAAAUAUGCGUAUCUUGUGCUAAGAACUGACCCAAACCCGAAAAAAUUUAUGAAUACCUAUUAGAUUCAAAUUUCUAGGAUCCGAAGGACCCAGAUCCGAAAAAAAUUGGACCAAACCCAACCCAAAGACUCAAACGUCCAGGCCUAAGUGUAUGAAUGAGCAUUCAGGUACCCAUUUGGGUACGAGUCAGUUCUUUAGGGUAUUAGAAUUUUUGAGUUCUUGGGUAGGGUUCGAGUCGGUCCUCCCAGAUACGGAUAUGUUCGGUUCUAAUGUAUAUGAACCUGAAAAUAACCAAAUAACCAAUGUAUCUGAAACAUGUUUGUCAUGUUUGUACUACCUGAACCGACCUAAUUUUAAAAUAUAACUAAUAUAUAUUUACAUUUGGAUAUCUUAGAAUACUCAUUCGGUUUUCGGUUUAGGUCGGGUAAUUUUUUUUUAAUCUGAAUUCUUCGAGUCCUCGACAUUUGGAUCCAAUUAGGUAUUUGAAAUAUUUUCGGUUAUAGUUCAGUUUGAUUCCUUUUGGAAUCGAGUCAAUACGAGUCCAUAAUUCAAAUAACCCUAAAAUACAUGUAAUUUGAGUACGUAAUAGUCUAGCUCAGUUUGGAUAUUUAGGAGCAAAAAAAAAAUUGAAAGUACCCGACCGAAAGACGAAAAAUACCUAAAAUACUAAUUCAUAUCCAACUUUAUUUAUAACCCAAACAAAAUCCGCGCUUUUGAAGCGCGGGUAAAAAUCUAGUUAAUAGUUAACAUCUUAUAACUUUUGCGUACAUGUGGACAAUGAACAAACAUGUGUACACAGAUAAUUAUAGCAUCCAUUUGUAGAACAAUUGUGAUAAUAUACAUGUGUACAUGUAUAACAACAAGCUCAUUUUAGAGUUACACAAAACAAUGAAAAUUCUAGAUAUAUUCAUGAGAAGUGAAAUAUACGAGUCUCAAAUUUUGAAGUUAACAACGACGGUGUCUUUGUCACCGUCUUCUUCAUGCUCUCCUCCAUUCUUGAUCCAAGGACGAAGACGAAGCAGCCGAAGAAUAAGAAGACAUGGCUCAAGUAGAACUUGUAUGGUUUCGACCCACGAGUCUAUGACUACAAGUCUACAAUUCUAAAACCUGCAAACCAUUUCAAAACUGUUCUGUUUCAGCUGUAUCCAUUUUUUUAUUCUCUUUGAUUUCAACACUCUGUUGUUUACGUCUCCGCAGCCAUCUCUAUCAUAUACGUCGAUGGCAUCUACAUCUCUGUCAUUAUCUAUGUCUCCGCCUUCUUCUACUUCUCCGCCAUCGUCUAUACGUCGAUGACGCCUACGUCUCCGCUAUUGUCAAUGUCACCAUUACACCACCAUUCAACCAUUAGCUUUGACAUAUCUCAAAAAACAGAUCAAAGAGUAGAGAUAAUAAUUUAAGGUAACAUUUUUGAAAAAACAAAUCUAGAGAAGUGGAUUUUAUUUUACAAAAAAAAUGGAAGAGAAAGAAAACGAAGAAGAAAGAGAAUGAUACUCACAAUGUCUUUUGGAUUUAUUGGUUAAGAAAUAUAUUAAAUUAAUUGAGAAAUAAAAAAGAGUAAUUUAGGAAUUUGGUGUGGUCUAUAUGUGAUGUUUAUUCUUGUUUCUUGUCCAAAACUGCCCUGAAAGCAAAAAGUGUUUUAUUAUGUUAUAAAAAACUUGAAACUGUUUUUGAAUUUGAAUGUAAUUCUUUCCUUGUAUUAUAUCAAGUAAAGCCAAUCUCUUUUGCUAAACGACUAUGUAAACAGAAUAUUAACAAGAUGUGGUUAUGCAAUGGAUGAUUACGUACGGCGUGAUGAUUAUUUAUUAGCUUAAUUCUGCGAUUAAUUUAAAACUUUUCUGGGGUUAAGGACAACGUUUUCUGUUGUUGAUAGCUAAAAGUAGUUUCCUGGUGGCCCAUAAUAGUUGGGGUUAAACUAUAUGAUUGUUAUGUAUGUAUGGAGCUAUGUGAAUUAUUAAAAAAAAUUGCAUGAUGAUGUAUAUAAAUCCAUAGAUGACUUCAUCAAACUGGCCAAUAAAAUACUAUCAAAAUUGAAUAUAAUUUGUGAAUUUUUAUGUAAAUAAAAGUUUCAUUUAAAUCAAUCAUAAAUUUUUAUGUUCUAAAAAUUGGUUUAGGUAUUGACUAUUGUCCGACUAGGCGGCACGGCAAAUUGGACCUAAAGGAUUUUUAUAGAAUGAUUUUUAAAAAAAAAAAUCGGUCUAAGCAUUCAAAAAAAUUAGUCUAGUCUUCCACCUAAGCAAUAAUCUUCUAUAAAGCAUUUAUUUUACCGCCUACAAUUUUUCGAAGAUUGGUCUUGGCAGUCCCGGCUCUAACCUAUGGCCACAUUGAUAAUUGCUAUGGAUCCAUGGAUCCAAACAAAAUUUUGGUAUUAUUUUACUAAUUAGAAAAUUCUAUUUUAAUUUGUUAAAUUAUCAAUUAGCUGGUGAAUUUAUAACAAAAAAGCUCAUGAUUAACAAAACCAAUUUUAAAUACAACAGGACAAUAUUUAUUUUUUUUAAACUUCACCGUUCUUAAUUUUUUUACAACAAAACCUAAUUUACACUUAAAGGUCCAUUUUUUUCUUUUAAUACCACAAAUUUUUUUUGCUCCAAUUUAAAGAAAUGCACUAAUUUUUUUGUUAAAAGGGUGUCUAUUUUAUGUUUGGCGUAAGGCCAUUAAAAUUUUUAAGACGGCACUGGUCUUGGUGUUAGGUUGAGAAACCAAAAUUGGGGAAGCUUUGCAACUUGAUGGUUCCUUGUGCUUUGACAGCACUUGACCAUUGGUCUCCACAAGUUAAAGUAAGUCCUUUGGUGUUGUAAUGGCAUUUUUCUCUUAUUAGUUGUAAACAUGAGGCCAUAUAGUGAAUGAGAAUAUGAUGUUCUUUGUUUGCUUUUGAUGACAGGGGCAGGGCAGGGUAAUAAGCUUUAUUCAUCUAAGCUAAAAAUGGUGAUCUUGGAUUGUAUGGAAACGUGUGGUUCUUGAUGCUUGUUGCCAGAAUAUAGCCUCAGAUGAUGAGAUGUGGAUACAUGUGGUGGAGUUAUCUGUGCUUCUUGUUACUAAACUCCAUCCAAAUAAUCCCGAAACAGUACAAGUUUUGUGAUCAAUCUUAUAUGUACUUUACCUUUGAAUGGUAUAACAACUACACCAACAUAAACUCUUGAAACCAUAUACACAAUUGAAAAUGAAAAAAUAGAGUCGCUGCACAUCAGAAACACCAUGACUUAUAUUUCACUGUAGUCCAAUGUAGAAAAAAAGUAAUGCCCAGGCCCCCCCUUACAAACAAGAAUCUAUGUAAUCUCUCAACACCACUAACAAUACAACAGUAAGAAGAAGAAGUAAAAGAAUCCAUUACACAGUUCAUGGAAGACUAAAGAUAUGACCAAAUCUUUUAUGUACAAACCUGCUUUGGAUCAUCAAUCAUAGCUCCCUCAGGACUCUAACAGUUGGUGGACAAUCUGUUCUCUGACCAGCCAGCGAGUAAUACGCCAGUAUAUGAGCAGGAUGCUCCAUCUCUCUCACAUCUCCUAGGUUCACUUCCGGGACUCUUCUUGCUUGAAUCAGCUCAAUGUUCCAGUUCGGUCGAGACAUUACCCUCAGAUCUUGUCCCGUCACCGAUUCUCUGUACCCUUGUACCCACAAGUAUCUCAGCGAAGGCAGUUUCAUCACCGCUGCAGCGAUUGCUCUCUCGCUGAAGCAACACCCUCUCAUCUCCAGCUUCUGCAGCUUCGGACACCCUUUUGAGAAUUCCAUUAGUCCUUCGUCUGUUUCACCAACGUAGCCAAGAAGCAUCCAUCUCACGUUUGGACUGUACUGUCCGAUGUAUCUUAACCCCACGUCUGUUAAGCCGCCUGGCCUGAGAUAGAAUGCAAACCGUCUGAGCUUCUCGCAUCCGAUCAAGAGGGAUCUGACUCCGUUGUCCAGCGGCAAAUCUCUUAUCCUCUCUUCCUGGUCGAGCAAGACAAGGCGGAAGUCGCUGAGGUUUUUCAGAUACGCGCCUAUGGUUCGGAGAGACUCGUUGCUUAUGUCUGUGACGUACACCGCCAUGUAUUCUAGCUCCUGGCAGCCCUUAGCCAAAGCCGUUAAUCCUCUCUGUGUGACAAAACCUCCCAAGUCCUCAUUCCCUUGUUCAUCUGCACCCCAUCUUUCGUCCAUCAUCCCUUCUUCAUCUGCACCCUGUUCGAUCCUCAGCCGCUUCAACUGCUUACAGCACUGUGCAAGAACCUCUAGACCCUUAUCUCCGAUCACAUUCCUCGUCUGAGAGAUACACACCAAGAACUUGUCAGCCUUUACAUACAAAAUAAAUAGUUCAUAAAGAAGAAAAAGUUACCUCAAGAACUUCCAAAUUAGGACACUUUUUGAUUAGUUUACAAUGAUCAUUAGUUUCGAGAAACGUAUAGAGCAGAUCCAGCUUCCGGAUUUGGGCAGCGAAUGGGAAUAUCAUUGGCAUUUCGUUAGCUCCAAAGUAAGUGAGGCCCAGACGACUUAGCUUUGGAGGGAAAGUGAGUUUGAUGUACUUGUCAGGUGUUUCAGGAGUAAAGGCGCCACCACAAAACUCCUCAAGGUUAACAGCAGCGUUAAAGAACCGGACUAGCUCCAGCAUCUCAACGUCACCGACCUUGACAGAGACCAGAGAGCGGUGGCAGUUCCUAGCUAUGGUUUCCAAGUCUCUGGGGCUGAGUUUUGUGAGCUCGGUCAUGUACAAGUUUAACACCUCGAGAGACGUGUUGUGCAGGGCAAGCUCGUGUAGCCAGUUACCGUCCUUUUCAAGAAAUGAACUCUCUUCCAUCACCAACGUUUUGAUAUUCCUGUCAAAGAAAACAGACGGAACAAUGAACCAAGUGAGAAAACAACUCAACAUAAAAUUGCAUAUGCACAACAGCGACAACCCAUUCAAGGAUACAUGAACUCGCAGAGACAAUCUUUCUAUGCAAAUGACAUAUAUAAUCAAGUCAACGCUAUUAUGUAAACGACUUUGAUUAUAAACAUUGAACUCCCAGUGGAAUGAAAAUAGUAUUUGAUUCCUUACUAUACUUUACAAUCAAGUCUCCAGAAACACGGCACCUAAUGCAAUGAACGACAUUAUAAACAUUGAACUCCCAGAGACAAUCUUUUUUGAUAGAACCCCCCGCCAAAGUUUCUAAUUCCACAACUGAUAAUUUUCUCAAGUUGCAGGCAUAACAAUGGCAAGUGUAAAGUGUAGCAAGGUCCUUUAUACAAGUAGGCACCAACGUUUCUACUUAGUCAACUUGUUCUUAUAAAAACGGCAUCGUUAUGAAGAUAAAGAGAGUUGCAAAAGUAUGUGAUAAACCUCAAGAACCAAUCGACAUUAUAAACAUUGAACUCCUCCAAAAGUGCAAAGUAUUAGCACGUAAGGUCCUCUCUACACAAGUAACUAACCAAUUGAGCUAGCAAAUCUUGUUCUUAUCAAAAACGGCGUCGUUACGAAGAGUAAUCUUGUGUUAGUUACCUGCAGUGUCUAACGACGCUCAAGAGCCCAUCGGUAGAGAACCCUAAGCACUUAUCAAGCUUCAGAACCUCGAGCUCAUCCCCCCUCGCUCUCGCCAAAACAUCAAGAUCCAAAUCACGCACGAUCAUCCUCCUGAAAUGCACCGACCUGAUCCUCCGGAGCGACAAGGCGAUCUCGUUCACCCAGGGGGUAACGAACCCUCCCCAAUUAUCGGGGAUGAGGUUGAACAUCGCGGCGCGAGGCUUCCCUUUGAGCAGGCCCGGCUCAAAAGAAUUUUGGGCCCUUGGCAAAAUAAUCAAAAAUUUUUUUUUUUACAUAAUUAUAUGAUAACUUAAAAAUUUCGGGCCUUAUCUUCAAUUUUUUUAAAAAUAUUGGGCCCCUUUUCAAUACUAUUUAUGCAAAAAAUCUUUUGGGCCCUAGGCCAAUGCCCCUUUGCCCACCCUCCUGAGCCGGGCCUGAUGGAAGAGAAAGAAAACGAAGAAGAAAGAGAAUGAUACUCACAAUGUCUUUUGGAUUUAUUGGUUAAGAAAUAUAUUAAAUUAAUUGAGAAAUAAAAAAGAGUAAUUUAGGAAUUUGGUGUGGUCUAUAUGUGAUGUUUAUUCUUGUUUCUUGUCCAAAACUGCCCUGAAAGCAAAAAGUGUUUUAUUAUGUUAUAAAAAACUUGAAACUGUUUUUGAAUUUGAAUGUAAUUCUUUCCUUGUAUUAUAUCAAGUAAAGCCAAUCUCUUUUGCUAAACGACUAUGUAAACAGAAUAUUAACAAGAUGUGGUUAUGCAAUGGAUGAUUACGUACGGCGUGAUGAUUAUUUAUUAGCUUAAUUCUGCGAUUAAUUUAAAACUUUUCUGGGGUUAAGGACAACGUUUUCUGUUGUUGAUAGCUAAAAGUAGUUUCCUGGUGGCCCAUAAUAGUUGGGGUUAAACUAUAUGAUUGUUAUGUAUGUAUGGAGCUAUGUGAAUUAUUAAAAAAAAUUGCAUGAUGAUGUAUAUAAAUCCAUAGAUGACUUCAUCAAACUGGCCAAUAAAAUACUAUCAAAAUUGAAUAUAAUUUGUGAAUUUUUAUGUAAAUAAAAGUUUCAUUUAAAUCAAUCAUAAAUUUUUAUGUUCUAAAAAUUGGUUUAGGUAUUGACUAUUGUCCGACUAGGCGGCACGGCAAAUUGGACCUAAAGGAUUUUUAUAGAAUGAUUUUUAAAAAAAAAAAUCGGUCUAAGCAUUCAAAAAAAUUAGUCUAGUCUUCCACCUAAGCAAUAAUCUUCUAUAAAGCAUUUAUUUUACCGCCUACAAUUUUUCGAAGAUUGGUCUUGGCAGUCCCGGCUCUAACCUAUGGCCACAUUGAUAAUUGCUAUGGAUCCAUGGAUCCAAACAAAAUUUUGGUAUUAUUUUACUAAUUAGAAAAUUCUAUUUUAAUUUGUUAAAUUAUCAAUUAGCUGGUGAAUUUAUAACAAAAAAGCUCAUGAUUAACAAAACCAAUUUUAAAUACAACAGGACAAUAUUUAUUUUUUUUAAACUUCACCGUUCUUAAUUUUUUUACAACAAAACCUAAUUUACACUUAAAGGUCCAUUUUUUUCUUUUAAUACCACAAAUUUUUUUUGCUCCAAUUUAAAGAAAUGCACUAAUUUUUUUGUUAAAAGGGUGUCUAUUUUAUGUUUGGCGUAAGGCCAUUAAAAUUUUUAAGACGGCACUGGUCUUGGUGUUAGGUUGAGAAACCAAAAUUGGGGAAGCUUUGCAACUUGAUGGUUCCUUGUGCUUUGACAGCACUUGACCAUUGGUCUCCACAAGUUAAAGUAAGUCCUUUGGUGUUGUAAUGGCAUUUUUCUCUUAUUAGUUGUAAACAUGAGGCCAUAUAGUGAAUGAGAAUAUGAUGUUCUUUGUUUGCUUUUGAUGACAGGGGCAGGGCAGGGUAAUAAGCUUUAUUCAUCUAAGCUAAAAAUGGUGAUCUUGGAUUGUAUGGAAACGUGUGGUUCUUGAUGCUUGUUGCCAGAAUAUAGCCUCAGAUGAUGAGAUGUGGAUACAUGUGGUGGAGUUAUCUGUGCUUCUUGUUACUAAACUCCAUCCAAAUAAUCCCGAAACAGUACAAGUUUUGUGAUCAAUCUUAUAUGUACUUUACCUUUGAAUGGUAUAACAACUACACCAACAUAAACUCUUGAAACCAUAUACACAAUUGAAAAUGAAAAAAUAGAGUCGCUGCACAUCAGAAACACCAUGACUUAUAUUUCACUGUAGUCCAAUGUAGAAAAAAAGUAAUGCCCAGGCCCCCCCUUACAAACAAGAAUCUAUGUAAUCUCUCAACACCACUAACAAUACAACAGUAAGAAGAAGAAGUAAAAGAAUCCAUUACACAGUUCAUGGAAGACUAAAGAUAUGACCAAAUCUUUUAUGUACAAACCUGCUUUGGAUCAUCAAUCAUAGCUCCCUCAGGACUCUAACAGUUGGUGGACAAUCUGUUCUCUGACCAGCCAGCGAGUAAUACGCCAGUAUAUGAGCAGGAUGCUCCAUCUCUCUCACAUCUCCUAGGUUCACUUCCGGGACUCUUCUUGCUUGAAUCAGCUCAAUGUUCCAGUUCGGUCGAGACAUUACCCUCAGAUCUUGUCCCGUCACCGAUUCUCUGUACCCUUGUACCCACAAGUAUCUCAGGGAAGGCAGUUUCAUCACCGCUGCAGCGAUUGCUCUCUCGCUGAAGCAACACCCUCUCAUCUCCAGCUUCUGCAGCUUCGGACACCCUUUUGAGAAUUCCAUUAGUCCUUCGUCUGUUUCACCAACGUAGCCAAGAAGCAUCCAUCUCACGUUUGGACUGUACUGUCCGAUGUAUCUUAACCCCACGUCUGUUAAGCCGCCUGGCCUGAGAUAGAAUGCAAACCGUCUGAGCUUCUCGCAUCCGAUCAAGAGGGAUCUGACUCCGUUGUCCAGCGGCAAAUCUCUUAUCCUCUCUUCCUGGUCGAGCAAGACAAGGCGGAAGUCGCUGAGGUUUUUCAGAUACGCGCCUAUGGUUCGGAGAGACUCGUUGCUUAUGUCUGUGACGUACACCGCCAUGUAUUCUAGCUCCUGGCAGCCCUUAGCCAAAGCCGUUAAUCCUCUCUGUGUGACAAAACCUCCCAAGUCCUCAUUCCCUUGUUCAUCUGCACCCCAUCUUUCGUCCAUCAUCCCUUCUUCAUCUGCACCCUGUUCGAUCCUCAGCCGCUUCAACUGCUUACAGCACUGUGCAAGAACCUCUAGACCCUUAUCUCCGAUCACAUUCCUCGUCUGAGAGAUACACACCAAGAACUUGUCAGCCUUUACAUACAAAAUAAAUAGUUCAUAAAGAAGAAAAAGUUACCUCAAGAACUUCCAAAUUAGGACACUUUUUGAUUAGUUUACAAUGAUCAUUAGUUUCGAGAAACGUAUAGAGCAGAUCCAGCUUCCGGAUUUGGGCAGCGAAUGGGAAUAUCAUUGGCAUUUCGUUAGCUCCAAAGUAAGUGAGGCCCAGACGACUUAGCUUUGGAGGGAAAGUGAGUUUGAUGUACUUGUCAGGUGUUUCAGGAGUAAAGGCGCCACCACAAAACUCCUCAAGGUUAACAGCAGCGUUAAAGAACCGGACUAGCUCCAGCAUCUCAACGUCACCGACCUUGACAGAGACCAGAGAGCGGUGGCAGUUCCUAGCUAUGGUUUCCAAGUCUCUGGGGCUGAGUUUUGUGAGCUCGGUCAUGUACAAGUUUAACACCUCGAGAGACGUGUUGUGCAGGGCAAGCUCGUGUAGCCAGUUACCGUCCUUUUCAAGAAAUGAACUCUCUUCCAUCACCAACGUUUUGAUAUUCCUGUCAAAGAAAACAGACGGAACAAUGAACCAAGUGAGAAAACAACUCAACAUAAAAUUGCAUAUGCACAACAGCGACAACCCAUUCAAGGAUACAUGAACUCGCAGAGACAAUCUUUCUAUGCAAAUGACAUAUAUAAUCAAGUCAACGCUAUUAUGUAAACGACUUUGAUUAUAAACAUUGAACUCCCAGUGGAAUGAAAAUAGUAUUUGAUUCCUUACUAUACUUUACAAUCAAGUCUCCAGAAACACGGCACCUAAUGCAAUGAACGACAUUAUAAACAUUGAACUCCCAGAGACAAUCUUUUUUGAUAGAACCCCCCGCCAAAGUUUCUAAUUCCACAACUGAUAAUUUUCUCAAGUUGCAGGCAUAACAAUGGCAAGUGUAAAGUGUAGCAAGGUCCUUUAUACAAGUAGGCACCAACGUUUCUACUUAGUCAACUUGUUCUUAUAAAAACGGCAUCGUUAUGAAGAUAAAGAGAGUUGCAAAAGUAUGUGAUAAACCUCAAGAACCAAUCGACAUUAUAAACAUUGAACUCCUCCAAAAGUGCAAAGUAUUAGCACGUAAGGUCCUCUCUACACAAGUAACUAACCAAUUGAGCUAGCAAAUCUUGUUCUUAUCAAAAACGGCGUCGUUACGAAGAGUAAUCUUGUGUUAGUUACCUGCAGUGUCUAACGACGCUCAAGAGCCCAUCGGUAGAGAACCCUAAGCACUUAUCAAGCUUCAAAACCUCGAGCUCAUCCCCCCUCGCUCUCGCCAAAACAUCAAGAUCCAAAUCACGCACGAUCAUCCUCCUGAAAUGCACCGACCUGAUCCUCCGGAGCGACAAGGCGAUCUCGUUCACCCAGGGGGUAACGAACCCUCCCCAAUUAUCGGGGAUGAGGUUGAACAUCGCGGCGCGAGGCUUCCCUUUGAGCAGGCCCGGCUCAAAAGAAUUUUGGGCCCUUGGCAAAAUAAUCAAAAAUUUUUUUUUUUACAUAAUUAUAUGAUAACUUAAAAAUUUCGGGCCUUAUCUUCAAUUUUUUUAAAAAUAUUGGGCCCCUUUUCAAUACUAUUUAUGCAAAAAAUCUUUUGGGCCCUAGGCCAAUGCCCCUUUGCCCACCCUCCUGAGCCGGGCCUGCCUUUGAGCUUGAGCGACCUCAGGUUCGGGAACCGGCGGGCGAGGCGAUCGGGUGCGGAGGCGUAGCAUAGGGCCAUGGUGACGUGGUCUCUCGUCUCCGAGUCCGCUCUGAGCCACGUUCGGUUGACGAGGGAGGCGGAUUCGCGGUCUUUGGGGUCGGUUACGUACGGCAUGACUAUCGAGAUGACGUCAUCGGCGUUCCGCGGGGUUGAUCUGAGCUUCUUGUUAUCGGGAUCCUCCAUCGUCGUCGUCCGUCGUCAAGAUUCGAUUCGUUUCGUCGGAGAUUCGAGUAAGCAAGGACACGCGUCGGAAGAAGAGAGUGGGAGAGGAAUCAAUAUAUAAGAGAAUCUCUCUACUCUGUUGUUUGUUGAUAUUAAUUUUUUUUUUUUUUGGGAUCACAGAAUAAUAUUUGAUUUUUGACCUUUUUAUAUUAUAUACAGUGUGUUACAGAAGUUAGACGACGAUAUUUGUAUUUAUAUCAAGUAAAGCCAGAUCUCUUUUGCUAAACGACAAUGUAAACAGAAUAUUAACAAGAUGUGGUUAUGCAAUAUGGAUGAUUGAUUACGUACGGCGUGAUGAUUAUUUAUUAGCUUAAUUCUGCGAUUAGUUUAAGCUUUUUUGGGUUAAGGACAAUUUUUUCUGUUGUUGAUAGCUAAAAGUAGUUCCCUUGUGGCCCAUAAUAAUUGGGGUUAAACUAGAUGAUAACAAUGAUUGUUAUGUAUGCAUAUUACACCAUCUCCAUCAAUAAGAACCUCUUAUGGACUCUAAUCAAUAAAUUAGUAAUAAAUAUAGUGAUUUGAAAGGUUUAAAACUUUUGUUAAUUUAAUUUAAGUUUUUCUCGUCCAAUGGUAGAACCUCAUUGAGGUUCUUAAAAAACAAAAUUAUUUUUCUAAAAUUAGAAUGAUUUGAUUUCAUAACAUGAAAAACAUAAAAAAAAUAUUAAAAAAGACAUUACAACAUAUUGAAAAUACAAAUACUAAUCGUAAACGAGAAAAAACCGAUUAGUCGAAAUCUUGAUUUGUUCCAAAUUUUUGCUAGAUGUUCUCAACCAAAAUUUUGCCAGAUGUUCUCAACGAAAUCAGCUUUCAAUUGUUGAUAUAUUUUGUUAUCACGGACUCGACUCCGAAUGCUCAUUAUAUUCCCGAGAUUUGAAGGCAUAUCUGAUGAAAACUCGAAAUUCACUUGUGAAUUUCGGUUUGAUUCCGGUUGUUCGAAACAAACCAUUUCACCAACAAGUUCCCACAAUAUUUUGGGAAAUUUUUGGUGAAAUGGUUUGUUGCAAGGGUAAGAGAAGCACAGGAGAGUUGGUGAAAUGGUUUGUUGCAAGUGAAACACAAUAUUUUAGGAACUUGUUGUUUUAGGUGAAAUGGUAAGAGAAAUGGCAAAGUUUGGAUGUUGUUUUCUUUUACAGUCGGAAGAGAAAUAAACAAAGGAAACACAUCUCAAAAGGGUUCUUGAAACACAACUCAAACUCGCUUGCUUUACAACAUACAAAUUUUGAACUUAUAAAGACAAGGAAACACAUGUUGCUUUAUAACUUGCAAGUCACAUGAUACAGUCAAUAAAGACAAGGAAAAACAUGUUCUUUUACGUUCAGGCAGGAAGAGGAAAAAAACAGAACAUGAGCAUUUCUUCUUGUCUUCUUCAUUACAUGACAUGGGAACACAACUUGCACCUGCCAAAAAAUUUGAUCAGAGACCAUACAGAAGCACGAGACAAACAGAGCAACAGAAUACACAACUUGCACUCACAACAUGACCUGCAGAAGCACGAGCCAAACAGAGCAACAAAAUACACAAGUCUCAGUAUAGGCUUCAGCCUUAGCUCCAGAGAUGUUUAAUUGUCUUUCUAAUUGUCUUCCACCUGCUAAAAAUGUGAUCAGAGACCAUACAGACAAAGAGAGCAACAUAAUACAGUUAUCACACAAGACAAAGGUGUGAUUUAACUUAAGCCAAAAGAAAGUGUUCUCAAUGGAUCAAAUGAUAGAGUAUGGUUACUUACAAGAAACACAUAGAUUGUAGUUGCCACUGAUGCUCCAAUGAAACCUUCCCAUGUUUUCUUAGGAGACAAUUUUAUCAAAGGAGUCUUCUCAAAAUAGAAACCAACGAAGUAAGCUGCUACAUCGUUCAUAGCAAUAAGCUCUGCUGGAAGAAGAAACCGGCAUACAUACAUCCAUUUAAUAAACAUGUUGCUAUAUGUUUCAGAGAUAUAUAUAAAAACUCAUGUGUAUCAACCGAGGAACCCAAGAUCAUCAUCAUAACUUGUUAAAAUCAACCAACACUAACUCGGUUUCUAUGCAAAAGAUUCGAUUUUUUCCAACAAACACACGAUAAUCUACUAGUAAAAUAUUUCACCUUCCUCAAGAUCAUCAUGCAAAAUCAUCAUCGACAUUAAUUUUUACAGACAGUUUUUCUACAGAGAAGAGAAAGGGGUGUUCGCACUUAUCUCGCCUCUUGUAUAACUUUCAUCCUUUCCUCGAUGUUUCUCUUGAAGCUGAUUCAUGUGAAGAACUUCCUUCUGUCUUCUGAUCUUCAUCAGAGCAUCAACGCAUGGGAGGAAACGACAUCGACACCGCAUUGACGAAAACAGCGAAUCGAGUGCCGAUUGGCUUCGGAAUCGACAAAGAAUGGACAGCGAAGGAUAUCGACAGAGAAUCAAUGGAGAAGAUGGAGAGAUCGAGCUUUGGAGGAGGAAGAGAAACAAAAGUGAUUACGGGAGAAAACCCGACGGAGGAGAGAGACACGUUAAGUUGUGGUCGAAUAAGAGAGUGCCACGUAGGGGUCCUUACCAAACCUAAAAAUCCUAAUUUAAACACCGGUCCUCUCUUUUAUUUUCAUUUUUCAUUUAUUUUUCUCCUAUUUUUUCUAAGAAACCUAGCGUAAGAAGCCACGAUGGACCUGCUCUUAGUUUGUAUGAACUAUUGAACAAGAAUACAUAUUGCAUGAUGAUGAUUUCAUUUAAAUUGACCAAUAAAAUACUAUUAAUAAUUGAAUAUGAUUUGUGAAUUUUUUUACGUAUAUAAAGUUUCAUUAAAAUCAAUCACAAAUUAAUAAACUAAAUGACAAAAAUAUUUUGUUGGAUUUGACAGUGAAAAAGACACUCAAAGAAUGUAACUCAAGAUUCUACUCCACACAAACCAAAACAGCACAAGAAAUAGAUGUACGUACACCUUUGUGAUUUAUCAUAGGGAAAAUUGGAAAAAUGGGACACUCUCAACUUUUAUUUGUCCUUUUAGUACUUCUGAUAUUUUUAGCAAUUCUAGACAUGUUUUACCCUUCUUUUAUGGGAAAAGUAGUAAACUGAAUUUUAAAAAUGUAAAAAAAUAUUAAGACUAUUGGAAACAUAAGUAUGACAAUAUAUAUGCUUAAUUUUUUUUUUUGAAAAAAGUUGAAUCAUAUUUUAUUUUAUUUUCUAGCUACAGUUAGAAAACACAUUCUAGUAAUCUACUUAAUUUAGAAAUCGGAUACUAAGUUUUAUACAUAGAUAUAUCCAGGGUAUAUAGCGUAAACUAAUAUUUCUUAUAUAUUCUAACGAAACUAUAAUCUGUUACGUUAUAAUCAAGAAAAUUGUCUUCAAUCUACCUACAGCUUGAUAACGACAUAUAGCUACAACGCAAUGAUAUACCUUAUCUAUAUUAUUUGUCAUAAUAUGUUCUGCCUUUUACCUUAUGUGACGCUUAAUGAAGAAUGUGUUUCUCAUCUACUCUACUAUGUUCUGCGUAAGGUAGGCUACAUAUUCUAGACAAAUCCGAAAAAUAUGGAAACUUCCAUAUUUGGUUAAAGAUGUUUCCUAAAUCUAAACUAAAUCUACCCUAAAUCUCUCAUAGAAUAUUUUCUCCCACGUUUUUCUCCUACUCCCACGAUCUUUCUCCGAUCUUUUCCUCUUCGUACUGGUGUAAAUCAAAAGGAACAAUUUGAACAAGGAGCCGUGUUGUUGAGGCUGAUAGCGUUAAAAAACAAAAACAAAAGAGACUCUGCUGGGGAUCGAUCCCAUAAUCUCUGGUUGUGUGAUAUAUCGUAGACCAGUGCCUUAUCCAUUGGGCCACAAAGUCUAAUUGUUUGUUGUAUGAUAUAUUUAGCUUAUAGACCUUUUAAACCCAAUUAAAGAACAUAGAGAAGAAAUGAACCAAAAUCUAGUUUGAACAAUUCAAAGGUGUAUGAAUUCCCAAAACUUAAUUUCUCAAAAGUCAAAACUGAACUGAAACAAAUCUAGACUGAACACAGUUGAACGAUACAUCAUACAGAAAAAAAAAAUUUAAACUUUGUAACAGAAGAAAGAUUCAUAUUCAGGAAAACAAAUAGAAAAUCACCAGAAACUUAGGUACAUCCUCAGAAACUCCUAAAGUUAAAGAGACAACUUAUUGGCACUUAUUGACCCUACGGAAGAUGAUAAAGUAUUGUCUUUUGAGAAAAUAAGAGAAAUGUGCGAUGCAAACAUUCGUUAUAAACCUUGUUUAAUCCUCAAACAAUGCCUUCUGCAGUUUUCUCUGCCUGUAGCUUCUUAGGACGGGUACCUUCGGCUUUAUCUUCCUCAUAAGCUGCAACAUGAACUCCAAGAGCCGCACAACCCGACAGGUCAAGGUUCUGUGACCAAGCAGCGUCCCAUUCCACAGCCUUCGCUGUACUACAUGGUACACUUGGACCUCCUGGCACAGUAGCUCUAGCAGCGCUCUGCUCAUUAUAUGUACAUAUCAGAGCAAAGAUCAAAGACAGUUCAGGCAAAGAAUGAAGUAGAACCUUAGGGAAGAAUUUUCCAAAGAUGGCUCUGUUUGAAAACCUUCGGUAGAUAAGGAUUCUUCUCAUCAUCAAAAGCAAUGCGUAACACCCAUUUCUCGAUCCUUUCGAUGUCAGGCCUGAUCUGCAAUGUGGUUUAGACCAGAUCUUACAUCAAACUGUGAAGGGACCGUCCGACGAAACCUGUAGUGAGAGAAGAAUACCGUCCGACGAAACCGUAGAGAGAGAAGAGGACCGUCUGACAAACCAAAGAACAAAUCCCCAAUUCGCUGAAUUGUAUCUGAGAACAAAGAGAAGAAAGAUAAAAACGAGAUUAGAGACAAAAAAAUUGAUGAUUUACGAUGAAAAAAAUAAGGAUUCUCCGCUUACCCUAAAUUGACAUUGAAAGGGUUGAAGGCUUGAAGGUACACGGCGGAGAAGAAGAGAAGUGAAAAAAUAUUAGGGUAAACAAGUUUUUAAUCCUUUUGUGGUUUUUUCUUUUUUUUUAAUUAAAAUUUAAAUCAAUUACGAAUUAAUUUAAAUUUUAAUUAAGGUUAAUUUGGUUAAUUAUAAGGGUAUAAUGGUAUUAAAGAGAAUAUAAAUCUUAUUUACCUAAAUAAUCCUCUACAAGUCUUAUUGGAACAAAUCUAAGAUUAAAGUGUCUCAUUUUUCUAAUUUUCCCUUUAUUAAAUCAUCUACAAGGGUCUAGACAAACAUCAUUCUCUGGCAAGCUUGAGCAAACUUGUGCUCUCUCUAUUACAUCAUUUUGUAACUAGAAGAUUGUCUAUCAUACCCUCGUUAAAUCUUCUACAAGAGGUAGAUUUUUUUAACAAAAACGAUUGGGAAAAAAAAAGAAACACACUACAAAUGACUACUACACUUGAUCUCAUUUGAAAUGCUUAAAGAAGCUCCACAUUCUCAACAUAAUACGUAUACACGCUUUGACCACUCAAGCGUUGCAGCAUCUCGAAGAACCCACAGCUUAAAACUUUUACAUGAUCGACUAGCAUAGCCAGAAUUUUCCGAGGACAUAAGCAAACCUAAUCUGCCAUUGUAGUUUAUCAUAGUUGUUGAAUGAGGCAGUGCUUUAUUGAAACCUCCCAAGAGCGUCACAGAGCUGAACUUCUCAGACCUCAAAUCAAAACAAACUACCAUAGAUUCUCCUGAAGAAGGCCCAGAUUCUGUAGCUAUAUAGUACAACACGCCACUGAUGCAAAUCCACUUACCAGAAGAACAGUGUGGGAUGCAACAUUCGACCGCCCUCCAUGACAAUCUGUUGGUUCCUAAUGUCAGAACAUGGAGCUCCUUACCAUCAUCACGUAAAAGACAAUACCUUGAACUCUUUAGCAAUGGGGUCAUAUCCAAGAUAGCUUUCCAUUUCCACUCCAUAAUUCUCUUUUGAGUUCAAUCUUGGUAAUGUCAAGAACUGUCCUGUGCUGGGGUUACAUAUCACCAUGACAAGCACUGUUUUGUUCCUGCCCAGUUUAGCUCCAUAACAGAAGAAUCCAUUGGUACAACCAAAUAACAAAAUACUUAAUGACUCAAGUUUCUCUCUGUGAAGAAGAAAGAGAAAGACAUUAAACUUAUCUUAUACUAACAAAAUACAGUUUAGAACUUAGCCACAAAUUCUACAGAAAUGUCACAUUCACCAGACCGAAACAACAAUCUACCAGAAAUGUCGAUUUUACAAAUUGCAGAAGAAAUGAGGCAAAUCUUUGUACACAUAAAUGUUUUCAGCAUUUCUUACCUCGAAAUUCACUGUCACUAGGUUGAAUUUUUGGACUCGGUUCGUAAAUCGCAGUUAGGGUUUAGAACUAUCCCCAAAAUCAUUUUGUCGGGGAAGAACAGAUAAAAGAGAGUGCAGUAAUAAAUUUAAAACCUUAGCAUUUUGAAUCAUCUUUACAAUUAUGUUUUGGAGUAUCGUAUUAUGUUUUAAGAUAAGGUUUGUGGGUUAGGUUUAAGGUUUUUUCUUAAGAUUUGGAAAAUAUACAAGUGUUUGAUUUUCUGAUUAUAUUCAAUUGUAUUUUUUAAUUAUUCUUUUUUUAUAAAUGUUGGAUCUUGACAUAUUUUUAUAUAUUUUAGAGUUUAUAAUCAAAAUUUAUAUUUUAUGAAUAAUGAUCAAAUGUUUAGAGUAUGCUUAGGGCUUAGAGUUUAGAAAAGAAAAGAAAAAUAUAUUUUUCAAAAAUAUGUCACUACUAUUGGAUUUUCUCCCCUGUUAUUUAUUAUUUUAUCUUUUAGAGUUUUUGAAUUGUAUAUGAAAUUUAGAGUUUAGAGUAUGAUUAGGGUUUGGUUUAAAAAAUUCAGUUUCUACGAAUAGCCACGAUUUCGAUUGUGGAAAAAUAUUCUCCAAAUUAUAUCAUGGAUAGUUAUAGAUACUUAUGUCCACAAUUUACUUUGUAGCAAGUUGUGAUUUGAUAUCCUUAAAUAGCCACAAAAUAAUAUCCUUAAAUAGCCACAAAAUAAAAUUUGUAGCUAAUUAGCCACAAAAAAUUACAUAAUAGCUACAAAUUUUCAUUUGUGGAAAUUUUGUGGAAAUUAUGUUCUAACCACUAAAGAUUUGUAGCUAAGUUGUGGCUAAAAUCAGUUUUUUCUUGUAGUGACCUAUGAUUUCUCCAUAGUAUCAUGGCUUUGCUCUCAAGUGAGAUUUUUUUUUACAUAGUAAGACCUGAUAAGCAUCAUCAGUUUGACAUAAGAUCCCAUGACAUUGGUCUCAGGUCGAUCUUCCUUCGCUAUUGGAGAUGAAUCCUCUUUCUCUGACACCAUCCGUGCUUUUGUCAUUGCUGCUUCAUCUAGCCGGCGACAUCAACAAGGACACAUCAUGUAAGCUUGCUUGGAUGACGUGUGUGGCUUCAAUAUGCGGUCCCUCAAUCUUUGAGCAAAUCAGUAAGAAGAUUAUGCACCCUAAGCAGCGCCGUCAGAGUUUUAAAGCACGUCAUCAUGUCUUUGCAAUCGGCCUGCAAAUGAUACAAUCUCUUAUCUUUUUUUCCUCAUCUUGUUUGUUUCGGUGCUUAUAGAAAAACAAAAAAUCAUAGGAAGACCUCUACUAUUUAAAGGCAUCUCUAUUUUUCUGUUAGGUUUUGAUUAUCGUUUUUUCUUUUUGGUUUUGAACUUUUAAAAACAAGCAAUUACAUGGACGUGCAUCCUUAGAGCAUGUUUAUCGGUAGUUUCUUGACACAAGUUCCUAAGAUUAAAAAAACUAAAAUAUUAGAAAGUUAAGAAAGAGAAAAUUGAAAAGCUCUUAACUAAACAUUUUAAGAAACGGUUCCAACAGUGACACACAUAUGUGUCACCUAUAUAUUGGUGAUGUUUUAUAAAAAAAAAAACUGAAAAGUAAAUUCAUUAGUAUAAUAUUAAUAUUUUUUUUCUUUCAGAAUCUUUUACAGCGUUGAACAUACUCUUAGUUGUAAGAGCACCCGCAUUGAGGGUUUAUGGGGGGAGUUCACACAGAAAUCAAGAAAAAAAAUAAUAAAAUAAUUCAAUCCCAUGAACCCCUCUCUCCUAAAGCUCUUUGGGAUGAACCCCUGUCUCCUAAAGUUCAUCACUGUAGCGCGGGCCCCACAUGUCGUGGCGGUCCGCGAUUGGUCUAGAUUUUUUUUCUCUUUUUUAAAAAAAAAAUCAAAAAAAAAAAGAAAAAAAAUUUAAUAAUAAAAAAUUGAAAAGAUAGAACCCCAAAAGGGGGUUCAUUGACGUGGGUGCUCUAGGAUGUAACAAGCAAUUAGAUAAUCUCAUUUACUCCAUGAAACCAUCAUCAAAGUUUCAAUGGGAGCUAUUCCCCACUAUGUUCAGCUCAAUAUUCUCAGCUCAUCAACGUCUGUAUCAAACUAUCAUAAAAGUACCAACAACUCACGAGUCACGACCUAGCCUAAUAACAAGAGCACCAGUGUGCACAUUUCCCUCUAUGAAACCAUCAUCUGAGUACCAAUUUUCAAUCACAGCCUCGAAAAGACUUAAAGACUUUAUCUUAAUCUUAACACAUCAUCAAAAGCCUUUUAGAAAGUUUAUAGAGCUUACGAUGGCACUAGUAAUUGUAACGACCCGGUUCUCUGAAAUCCGUUUGGUUAAUUAUUGUGGUUUAUUAUUAUUAUUUCAAAUCAAACCAAAGCCUUCUCGCUUUCGUAAUUGUGGGUUUCUUAAUCAUCAAGUCUAUUCUUCAAAAAAGAGUUAAAGUCACAUAUCUUGGGUUUUAUUCUAAAGGGAUGUAUUAACAGCCCACAAAACCUCUUAGCCAUUUUCUUAAGAAAAAUAGACCUAGUCAAGAUGAAAUUAAUUGGCAAGUAAAGAGAGAUCAUGUCAUAGCCACCAAUAUAUUUUAUGCCUUACUUUUUUUGGUACACAUCAAUUCGAGAGAAAACUUCUCAUUCAAGGAUCUACGACUUUCACAAAAUGGUACUCUUGUCCAUUAAAACUUUGCUACUUUUGUCUGUCAACUUAUCAACCAAAAUUGGUAAGGGCAUAUAGUCUACCACAAAUCAUUCAUGGACAAGCUUUCAGGUGUUUGGUUCUUGAUGGACAAAUAUUAGUGACAAGUUUUGAUAGAUCAAAACAUAUCCUAAGACAACGUUUUGAUGGACAAUUCCCAAAAAGUAACAAUUUGUAAUUGUAUUUUGUAAUUUGUAAUUGUAUUUUUUAGUUGAUAAAAAAAAAAGCAUUAUGGGUAAAAAAAACCAUUGCUUCAAUCUUAUCCAUACAUGAUACAUGAUACUUGUAUGAACAACAAAGCUUUUAAAUGAAGUAGUUUUCUCUAAGAAAGACAUGGCAAUGUAUGAUGAGAGAUAGUAUUGAACAAAGCAAAGCGUGGAGGGACAUGUUUUAUAGAAAUUUGAGAAUGUGGCAUAAUAUGCAAGUUCCUUGACACCAAUUACCAUAAGAAAUGUUUUAUCUUUGGUGGACACCGUAUUUUCCAGCAAAACGCUUUUAAUACAUCAACUGUAGAUCCAAAUAGUAUUGAUGGUUUUUCUUUAUCUGGAUAAACCCGUUCUACCUGAUAUCAUGAUUUAACCGUGUAUUUUCCUUUUUGCUUGAAAUGUCAACCAUACUUAUCUACCAUGUGAAAAUUUUGAUUAUUAUUAUCGGGAAUAUUUUAAUGUCAUCUCUAAACAAAAGUCGUUUAAGUAUCUAAAACACAUUUGGGGAAGUUUUAAGAACAUAAUUUCUCCAAUAUAUAUAAUCAUCAUUUCUUCUUCUUUGGUUCUUCGUUUGCAUAGUCCUUGAUUAAUGCUUCCACGUCUUUCCAGAACAAACCCUCAACGAGAACUCCUUCUUUCGUGAACCUGAAAAGGUACAAACAAAAAAACAUACAACAUAAGCUCGAGCUUAUAAUGAACAAAUAGUAAUGCAGAGAAAGAGAGAGAGACCAUUGGGUGACACUUUUGGUGAAUUGGACUGACUUGCCAGCUGAGAUUGAUUUUGGAUCAGCACUGUCAAUGGUGAGAGUGUACUCAUCAGAGAACCUCGGCAGCUUUGAAGACACAAUCAAGCCAGUGCUGGUGAACGAUCCCUGCGUAUUCAACCAACCCAUUUUUAAAGAUUUUUGAACAUAGUAGCAAAUUAUGAAGCUAAGCAUUUAAAACAAAUGAAAGUGCGCAUGCCUAUCAAACAGAGAACAUUAAAACCCUUAUGUGUCUUGACUGUAUCAGAAUGAAACAAACCCACUAACCAAAUUACUCGCAUCAAAUCUAACCAAUAAGUAGAGAAUGAAAUAUGCUCUUAAAACUCUUAUCCUCUCUGAUACAAACUACAUGAAAGGAGUAAUCAUCUUCAAGCUGGUGAAAAGGAGAAAGAAAACAACCCACAUUACAUUCCCAGAACCACCCAUUUAGCUGAACAACUAUGUUUCUGAGGAACAAGACAGCACCAAUCCCAAACACCAAAAGAAACAAGAACCGCCAGAGUCAUAUUGCCAAGACUUUGAAUAAUCAAAACAAAAAAAAAUUGAAAUUGCAGCUAUUCCUAAAGCUCAAAUGCCCAAAACCAAGGUCCCCUAAGAUACGCAUAUACACUACUUAACAUGUCAGACACACAAUUUCAAAUUCCUUACAAAACAAAAGGAAUGUAAAAGUUUGACACAGUAUGUGAAGGAACUCUGUACAUUAGGCACCUAAAUCACAGGACUAAAGUGGAUGCAUCAUAGAAAAAAGCAGACACAAACAAUCCAAGAUUGAUUCCUACUCUAAACAGUUAGAGAAUCAAACCUCAAGAGGAUAGGUGAACAAUAUCGCAUUCUUCUCCUUAGUGUACAUAAUCAGCUGCAUCACCCCAUUCAGCACUACAUACGUACACCAUAGUCAAAGAGCCACACAUCUUAUCCAAUCACACUCUACUAGAAAAUGUUUUUUUUUACUUCAAAAUCCAAUGCCUAAGCACAAAGAAGUCAAGCCACGUCACAUUUAUCUAAAUCCCUAAAAACCUUAACUGCUAAGUCCGCAGAACAAAAUGGUAAUCAAGCAGAAGGCAUUAAGCGAAUCCAAAGCAACGAUUUGAUGUUAAAAAAAAAGGAUAUAACGCAAUGCAUCCAAUCAGAAAGUCUCUGUUCUCGGGAAACUUCUUGUUGUAGAACUGAGCAACGAGAGCAACCGCGAUGAUAACCGCGCCUAAGAUCAGCUUCAUGUUGCUCAGCCUCACGUCCUCCUUGUAGCCACGGCUCGUAACGAUCUACACAAAAGGACAAAAGGAUGAUCGUAAUCCACAGAUCGGAGAAUAUAGAGGAGGAACGCGUAAGGUGAAUAAUCUGAGGAUAUGUGGCUUACAUCGGAGACGGACUCGUCGAGCAUGUGCUUGAUAGAGUUGUGGUCCAAUAGAUUGACCUUCUUAACAUUCUUGUUCGUCGAUUCUACUUUCUUCUCUUCCAUGGCGGAUCGGAUCGGAUCGGAUCUCUAGGUCUCUUCGAAAAUUCAAGUGCUCUAGCGAACGCAGUUUCUCAAGGAAGACGAUACUUAAACUGGGCCGUGAUGGGCUUCAAAGGCUAUUUUGCAUUAUAAAUUACUUUUUUAUUUCAGACUUUAAUUACUUAAUAUUGUUCUUUUUGGUAUGUCAAUUAAACAAUUUAAACGUUUUUGGCAACUAAUCAAACCCUCUUUGUUAAAAAAUCUAAAUAAUAUUUUCAAUCAUAUAUAUUUGACUACUUUUAAGUCUUUAAACUUAAAUGUUGAAGGUUUGUUUCUUUAUAUAAUUAGAUUGGAUUCCAAAUAUAUUGAUGGUUAACUUUUAAUUAUCUUGUAGAGAGAUAACUCAGAUAAGAGGCCAAAAAGAAAAUAAAAAUGAUAGGAAAAACACCAAAUAAAUAUAUAUUUUUUUUGGAACAACACCAAAUAAAUAUCAUACAAACCAAUAUUCUUGCAGGAAUUACAAAUAAUCAAUUUGCAAUUAUCAGGAAAUGAACAACAUUCCUGAUUGUGUGAUAACUAAUCAAGAAAUUAUUGGAAUUUUAAUUUAAAAUCUAUUAAUUUAUUUCAAUCUUAUUCCUAAAAUCCUAGCUUGAUUGAAGAAGAUUUCAAGAAGGCUUGGACUUGACUUUGCUAGAAGUCCCGUUUGAGAGCAACAGCUUAGCUCCCUUCACAAGCUCUUCCUUGAUCAUGAACAGAACCGCAGCAGCUAAAACGCUCUGAACUAUCUUUGUGCUCAUCCCUUUGUAGAACCCGUAAAGCCCUUCAUAUCGAAUCAUCUUCAGAAUCGCAUCCAGUGUUCCUGUAAUUCAACCAUCCAUAGAAUUAGGAAAUGAGUUUUGUGGCCUUUACUAAUGAUCUCAUAACAACAAGAGGAAACAAAAACCUUUGUACUGAUGUCUUUUGUCUCCUGUUGUGACCUGUUUGGCUUGAAGUCGUGACUUUACAACAAGGAGAGGAUAAGUUGUGACUGUAGCUCCAAGUUUAGCCACAGCUCCAAGAAGAAAUGUCUAUGGGGAUUGGGGAACAAAGUAUAAACAAGGAGGCAGAAGCAUCUUAUCAAAAGAAAAAGAAUGCAAAAUAAUUAGAGUCCGAACCUCCCAAGCGGUAACGCUGUUGCUACUCUUCAAGGCACGUUUCUUCUUCAGCUUUGCUAGCAUUGUCUCGUACAACAUAAAUUGCAUUGAUGGAUUACUUACCUGUAAGUUUUUCAAAAACAGUCAGAAAAUGCACCCACACAAACAAUAUCAGAGUAGCUUCAGAAGCUAAGUUCACAUACCAUGAUCAAUGUCGGAAUUACACCUUUCCAGAAGCCAGUCACUCCAGAUUCAUCGUAAACGUCUCGAAUCUGAAACAUUGUUCAAUAUGUAUCACAGAAGUUGUAUUCAGAGGAUUAUAGAAUAUGAAAGGGUUUCAGUUUCAUAUUUCAAUCAGGUCGAGCCAACUCUUUCUGCUUUGUAAAAAUACGAAGCUGCCUCAUACCGUGUUAAAGGUUCCAUAUGGACGCGGCUCAACUGGAACCAGAACUUCAAUUUCAGAAGGAGGUGACUCAGAGACUGUCUUUUGAUCUUUUGGCAUUUUUCUGUGGGUCUGCAUUAUAUACAAGUAUUCAAUAAGAAUCAGGGGGAUUAGAAAGAGGACCAAAAAACACUAAAUGCAAAAAGAAUACUUUGAAGAAUAAGACAUCUGUAUGAAAAUACAUAGGAAAUAGAUUAAACACCAUAAGAAGAACUUUACUGUGCUGUAAAUGAAGCCACUUAUACCUGCAUGCGUGUAACAAUCACCCAAAUUGGAUUCGUCAUCAGAACGUUAACUGCUCUGCAUAGAGAAAUAGCUUCGUACUUCAAAUGAGACAGUAGAGUCAAAAUAAAAAAAGAGAUUUAACAUCAUUGAAGUAUGGAUGCUUAAUUAUCUUUGGCAGCCAAAGUUUAGAAUCAAACAUCAAAACAACUAUGACUAUAGGACCUGCCAGUAAAAGAAUACACCAUCCACCAAGUAGCUCCAAUAAACAUGCAACACUAUAUAAGAGCAUGAGAUGAUAGCAUCAGUAAUGUGACCACGGAGAGCAUUCACUCAUAGCCUACACUCCAGAGAGUCAAUGUGAAAACUUUGAGAAAGAACUAAACCACCUAAGUGUUACUUAGCAUCGAAAUCAACCAUUCAAAACACUUAUGUAUAGCUUCACUAACUAAAGACACUCCGCAUUGUAACAGACCAAAAUCUAAUCAUUUACGACGAAAACUACAUAAAAAGAUUGAUGCUUUACCCGGCUAAAGCAGCCACAAGGAGUGAAGCGAACAUCCCAACGGAUCCGUCACCCAACCCUAUUUUACUUUGUUGCAGAGCUGCAGCUUCAGCUUGAUUCCGAAACACUUGGUAGAAGUAAUAGUACACACCCUAGUGAAGCAACUAACUUAGAAAACUUUCAAACAUCAAUCCACAAAAUGUCAAACAAAAUAGAGAUUCUGCAGAUACAAAAAGUGAGAGAGAGAAUGUAUAACCUGUGACGCCGCGGUUCCAGCGAGAGACGGAGCCAAUCCACCAUAUAAACGCUCCCAUCCUUCUUGUUUCACAACCUUUCAAUACAAAAAAAAAUCAGAGCUAAAAAAAAACUCUCUCUAAAACCAGCCAAAUCCUUUGAUCCUGAGAGUAACCUGGCACAUGUGUUCGAUGGUUCCAAGCUUCCUCUAGCCAGUCCAUUUAUCAAAGCGUCCGACAUGAUCCCUACCUAUCGGAAUCGCUACGAGAUCUAGAUUACCUCCGAUUCAAAUUGGAACCGUCCCCAAACAAAACUUCCGACGACGGAGGGCGGAGUCAAAACGGAUCUUAUGUAGGUUGGAAGAAACUCCCGACGACGGAGAAUCAAAGCUUCACACGCGAUCGAGUUGACGUUGAAGAAAGAACAGUG